AUAAUGUGGUGGCUUCUCUCCCUUAGGUGGCUUGCCAACUGGGGUUGGUGGCUUGUGUUCAGGAAGUGGUUUCUCUCCCAUGGGAGGUUUAGCAAUUGGGGUUGGUGGCUUGUGUUCUGGGAGUGGCUUCUCUCCCUUGGGAGGUUUAGUAGGUGACUUGUGUUCUGGAGGUGGCUUCUCCACCGGAGGCUUGUGCUCCGGUGGUGGCUUCUUGGUUGGAGGGGGCUUGGGGUAAUCAGCAAGAGAUGGGGUGGUGAGAACCACCAGUCCAAGGAACAACACUAGCAAGUAUGUGGGAGACAUUUUUGAGUUUGGGCUGAUCAGAUGAUGCAAAACUAAAGCAUUACGUGACCUUUUAUAGCAUGUAGCUCCCAAUACCCACUAAGUAUUGUGGGGUCCAUUUGUGCCCUACGGGGUUGAAAACUUAGACAAUUGGGCAAGGACCCACCUGACUAUGGAGGACUAGUGAGGUGUGAUCAUAGCUUUAGGAUUUUUCUUCCUCUGCAGCCGUCGUGCCGUUGGCAUGAUUUUCUUAAUCUUAAAUAAAGGCAUAGUUAUAGAGUUGUUUAAUCUCUAAAUGGGAUUUUAUAUAUAUCUUCAGAUAGCCAUUAAUAUAUUUGAUGAAGAAAGAAAGACAAGUGCAUACAACAUGUAUACGACUAGCUUUCAUGGAGUUCAUUUAUGAUCAGUUUUCCUGUACAUGUAAACCAGGAUCAUAUAUAUGUUUCUGUUCCACAACUAUUUUGGAAUCUUGUUUAUCAGUUUUUAUCAUUAUAAUGUCACAUAGGCUGCCAACUUGGGCGCUAAAAGAACCAGUUGGGCUAGUUCGUUUCAGAAUUUCAAUGUGGAUUCAGGAAUUGUUUUGUAAGAUAUGCGAAAUAGUAGAGGGAUGAAUAGUGUUUCAUUAAUAAAAGUGUCCUGUAAAUUAGAAGGUGUCAUAGAAACUAUAAUCAAUAAAUAACUUUUUUUCCCCACGGGUGGUGUUUCUUGUGGGGAUCAGUGACUGGUUUAGGUUCACCCAAAAUGAGUUCAGACUAAAAUUGGUUUGAGUCAAUGCCGUGUCUCUUUUUUCCAGAAAUCAACUAUUUUAUGCAUUGAAUAAAUCAUACAAAGAAAAUAUGAACGCCCGCAAAACCUAAACCCUGGUUGCUAACUUUCUAUGUUUCAGUUCUAUUCACGCAAGAAUAUUAGUUUAAGUUUGGGAAAAAUGGCAACUUACCUAGUGAUUACUUGGUUUUGGUUUGCGACUAUUUACGCAACCAACCAUGAGUUUGACUUUAACGUCAUGGGUUGAAGCCUCCUACAGGAAGGGAGAAAGCUCCACAGCUAGCUCCAAAAGAGAAUUAUCACAUUGAUAGCUCCAGAGAUUCCCAAGGGGACUGAAUCAAAGACAAGUUCCUCACUUUUUCUUCUUUUGAGGCCAAAUAUGAACCAAGGAUCACACAACCUCAUUCAACUUCAUAAGUUUGAUUUCAUGCAGUUGAACACUGGGUGAAGGCCAUGACAAGAAUUGAUUCAAAAAUUCUAUCACUCUUUUAAGUAAUGGAAGAUUAUUAUCUCUGAUUGGCAUCACAACAGCACAUGCUCCUAGAUCUUUCUAGACACUCCAUGCAAUGAAAGCACAAUGGAUCUUGUAACGAUAGAAACUAAGCCAUGCUACAGUACUAGAUGAUGAGGUAAAACUAGUAGACACGGGUGGCAGCCUAUAUGGGAGGGACACAAGUCUAAUUGAUUUGCAUUUCAGCAUUAUAGAUAGGUAUGUUUUGGAAGAUUUGUUCUGGAAAUACCGCACCAAGUAGGAUUCUUUUUCUCUUUAGUGGGUCCACUUGCAUGCCAAUUAACGAGUUGAAAAGUAUGAGCACCUACCUCGUGCUCGUGGAACCGAAGGUCAGUGAAGUGGGGCUCCUUUUGGCCUCGUGUAAACUUGAUUCAGAAGUGAAGUUAAUAGUCUUCCAUUCAGAUGGAUACAUGGGAAUUUUUCUCUUUUAUUUAUUUAUUUAUUUUUUUUUUGUGUGUGUAUGUCAAAGGAUAAUGAAUGAAGCGCGUUAGCUUGUUUUCUGACUGGAACCGCAGAUGUCCAAAUUGGAGUUCCUUCAUUUCUUACUUAGGAUUGUUACAUGUAUAAACAAGGUAUAAGAAAUAUGCCAACGUGUCUUGAGGAGUUAUUGAUUAGAAAUAACAAGUCACCCGACUGUAGAGUUCCAAGAUUUGAAUCUUCAGACCCUAUAGCAGCCUCUGGGGUACGUGGCAUCCUAUAGCAUAUUAAUGAAGGCUUUUUCGAUUUAGACUUCACAAUACCAAUUAAUAUGUAUGCACAAAAUGGAGAUGACCCCAAAAAAAACAGAAUCGCCAUAGUUUAUGAGGUUAAGGUGAUUCUCCACUUAAUAUCUACAUUAGCUAAUUAUGUAAAUCAAAUGAACUUCUAUUUUUCCUUUUUUUUUUUGGUUUAUGUCAAAUAGUAGCCCAUAAUUAACCCAACCAUUAGCCUGUUUGAAUUGAUUUCACAUGCACAAUGUUGUAGUAGUUCAUAUUUUGAAUUUUAUUUUUACAAAGGUAGUUAAGGAAAAUGAAGUAUAAUAAUUAUAAAAGCAGACUAUAUACACUACAAUAAUUGUUAGAAUGGUAUCUCAAAUUCUAAUUUAAAAUAUUAUUUUUUGUAAAAGAAAUAUUAUAUAGAAUAUUUCCUAAUUUUAUAAAUGAUUAUAAUUAGAUCUUUAUAAAAUAAGGAAAGUUGGUAAGAAUAUCUUUAUAAAUAUUUUAGGUCAUGAGAGAAAGAAAUGGGAUAAAAAUGUGAUGAAGAGGUGAAAUAAGAGAGUUGAUUAGGAUAUAGAUGUGAAGAAGAAAGGGAUUCAAUAUAUAUAUAUCUUUCAAUUACCACAUUAAAACCCUGUGAACCUUUUAUAUGGUUUACUUUAUUUUUAUAUUCCUCCUUUAAUAUAUUUACAUUAAUGCUUCCAUUGGCACAACAAUAACGAAUUACAAAUACAAGCAACAAGUCCCAUGUUUUAUUACCAAAAGCAGGUAAAAUCCACCUAAUAUAUUACAAUAUAUUCAUCCAAUAUUUUAGACCAAUUCUUCACCAUAAAUAUCAUAAUGUGGCUUUUGUUCUUUCUUAAAUUUAAAUUGAAUUGUCUUAUAUCAAUUUGUUUGUGAUUUUUUCAUUAACUUCACUUUCAUUUGGUUAUCUUUGGUUUUUGAAAAGUAUUAAGGAAUUAAUUAACAAAAUAAUGUUAAGAAAAAUAAUUUUCUCUCUUUUGAUUUUGAUUUUGUAGUAGAAAAAUAUAAUUAAAAUUAUUUAAAAAGUAUGUAAUUUUAAAUUAUUUAAUAUUUAGAUAAAAAAAAUAAGUCUAAUGAGUUUAAAAUAACAUAUAAAAAUAAUUUAUUUAUUUUAAAUUUAUUUUUUAUUUUCCAUUAUGUUCUCUUUCUCUUUUACUUUUUCAUAUUUUUUCUUACGAAGAAUCAAACACAACCUCAUAUUAUAUGUCAAGUGUUUGUCUAUAUUUGAGCAAUGUUAGAUACGGCCAUGGAUUCAUCAAACUAAACUGAUUUUAAUAGAUACUUCACAAAUUGAUUUAUACACUAAAUCAUUGGAUAGCAAUGAUGCAUUGGAAUUAAACGUAGGAUGAAGCUCGAAGAACACUGUUUGUGUAACAACAUAUUUAUGAAAUUAUGCAAAGGAUGAGCUUCGGGGUAGUAGUACAAGGUCAUUAAUGGAGAGCCGUGUUAAACCUUGAUUGUGAUUGGAUUCCGUUAUCAGCAACAGCAACCUUGUUUGUAACCUUGAAAGUCAUUCUGUCCACAUCGAAACUCCAAUUUGACGUUUGUAAUUACCAUUCCUGGAGUGUUCCUUGAUUGAAAUUUAAAUAAUAAUUGCGGCCCACAAGGAAUAUUUUCGAUUCUGUGGGAAUUUGACAAGGUUUGUUAGAGAAGACUGGUGACAUGUUGACUUCAAUGGUUCAAAUAGGAGACGUAUGUGGAUUUGGGGGGUUUAAUUGAAACUGAGUCCCUAUGGCUUUUUAAUAUUUGCAUUGAGCAGUCUCCAUGUGACUUCCUAAUUCCCACCAACCCUCCUGUCCAUGCUGUGAAACUAAAUUGUAAUUUAUCAGCCUUUGUCAAUGGUUUCUAAAUUAAAGAUAUAGACCAUGCAUGUACUUUAAUAAAAGCAAAUCUAAAGUGUAGAUAGCAGCAAUGGUGACACCCAAUAUUCUCCAUAAAAUAGAAUUAGAAUAAGCAGUGUUACAUUGUUCAUGAUCACCUACAAGCAUACAAGAACUUCCAUGAAUAACUCAUAGCAAUUGCCAACAGGGCGUCGUAGAGACUCAUACAUAGAACACUAUCCACCCAGAGGAAAGGACAAGACCAGUGCGCUGCAGCUCUUAUUUUUCACAUGUAUACCACCACUCGUAAUAACCAAAUUCACUCAGUUGGGAUAGGUGGGAGAUGGUGGUUUGUGGGGUGGCUUGUGGGGAGGAGUUGGAGGAGGCUUUAUUUUCUGAGGCGGCUUGUAUGAGUGUGCAGGAGGAUGCCCGGGAGUGUGACCAUAAUGUGGUGGCUUCUCUCCCGUAGGUGGUUUGCCAAAUGGGCUUGGUGGCUUCUCUCCCUUAGGAGGUUUACCAAUUGGGGUUGGUGGCUUGUGUUCUGGGAGUGGUUUCUCUCCCUUGGUAGGUUUGCCAAUUGGGGUUGGCGGCUUAUGUUCUGGGAGUGGCUUCUCUCCCUUGGGAGGUUUGCUAAUUGGGGUUGGCGGCUUAUGUUCUGGGGGCGGCUUCUCUCCCUUGGGAGGUUUGCCAAUUGGAGUUGGCGGCUUAUGUUCUGGGAGUGGCUUUUCUCCCUUGGGAGGCUUGCCAAUUGGGGUUGGCGGCUUAUGUUCUGGGGGUGGCUUCUCUCCUUUAGGAGGUUUGCCAAUUGGAGUCGGCGGCUUAUGUUCUGGAAGUGGCUUUUUUCCCUUGGGAGGUUUGCCAAUUGGGGUUGGCGGCUUAUGUUCUGGGGGUGGCUUCUCUCCCUUGGGAGGUUUGCCAAUUGGAGUCGGCGGCUUAUGUUCUGGGAGUGGCUUCUCUCCCUUGGGAGGUUUUGUUGGUGGCUUGUGUUCUGGAGAUGGCUUCUCCCCUGGAGGCUUGUGCUCCGGAGGUGGCUUCUGAAAUGGCGGGGGCUUGGGGUAAUGAGCAAGAGAUGGAGUACUGGUGAGAACCACCAUUCCAAGCAACAAUACUAGCAAGCAUGUGGGAGACAUCUUUGAGUAGUUGUAGCUAAGAUGGCGCAACACUGUAGGCAUUGGGUGGCCUUUUAUAAAGGGCUGGACCCAACAGCCAUAUGACACGUGUCAUGAUGACAAAUGAAGUUGAGGGGAUCCAGAUGGGUCCUACUGAGUCGAAAACUUGCACUAAUUGAUCUGGUGAGAUGACUAUUUCUGUCCUUUUGCCCUUCUCGGCCACCCUGUGCUGUUUUCCUUUUGCACGAUUUUCGUUGCCAAACAAGCAAAUAAUAUUUCGCCAAGAAAGAGGAGAGUGAAUGUGGAAUGCAUCAAGUCCCAUCAAGGAUGGCAGAGAAGAAAUAGAAGAUUGCCCAACUGUGAUAAACAUAGCAUACACGUAGCACCAGGAACUUCAUUUACUUCCAUCUAAUGGAACAUAACAAUCUUCUAAAGUUUUUGCAUGAUUUUGUUAUAUGUCUCUUAGCCUAAAGUUGGAAAUGCGCAACAAAUUUUGUCACUUCUCUAUUUCCCACUGAUGAUGUUAAUUAGCCUUCAUAGAUAUCAUCCUUUCUACAAAGUGCUUCAUUUGUGUGUUAUUGUAAAGUGUAAGAAAAGUAAUUGAACAUGUUCUUUUUCCUUUCAUAGAUGACUUUUGAUGUGCAUUUUAAAAGCAGCGCUGUGAGUCGGUGACCUUGAUUCACACGGAAACUAAGGCUCCUAUAGGACCCACUUUUAGCUGGUUAGGGGUGAAGAAAAUAUCAACUUUUCAGAGUGAUUUAAGUCAAGGCCAAGCCUCACUGUGUCAUUACUCGUGUGAAUUUUAUAUGCACAUACAUACAUAAAUAAAGUAUGAGACCCAAAUAACACCUUCCCUUUACAAACUUAACCCCAGCCGCUCUCUUUCAAUUCUUUUCACACAAGGGUAUUGACUCUAUAAAGGUCAAGAAAAUCAUAAUUUCCUAGGGUUUACAAGGUAAUUGGCUUAAUGCUAAUGUGAAAACAUAAAAGAUAAUAGUAUAUUGUAAGCUAACGAAUAUUCUAUAGUUAUAAUUAUUUGUGAUGUGCAUAAAUAAAUCUUCAUAUAUAUAAUGGAACAAUGAAUAAAGAACCAAUGAAAAAAUACUAUAUAUCAUUGCUUGGCAUUUAAACCGUAUAUGCUGCUCUUUCUAGCUACUCCAUCCACUGAAAGACAACAAGGUAAUCCAUGUUAUAAUGAUAGAAGAUACUGUCUCUAGGCUUUUUGUGAUGAAAAAUAUAAGAUAUGGGUAGGGUUGACCCUUGUAUGUUUGUCCUAUAAACACUUCAAAGUAACAUAUUUUUCUUCUUUAGCAACUCAUAAUGAUGGGGUUCAUUUGCAUGUCACUGAGUUGAAAAGUUGGACAAUUGCCCAUGUCGCCUUCCUCCUAGAUUCCGUAGUUCACGGGAAGGUAACUCAAGUUUGACAUAUUUUGAAUUCUUUUCACUCGGACGUCUUCAUAACCUGACAAAACAAAAAUGAAAAACAGAGGAUUGGUAUAUUAUUCAUGGUAAGCCUCAAAUUAUAGUAGUAUGAGAAAGGAGAAAAAGAUUUUGGGAACUCCAAUCUGGAUAAUUCUCGUUUCUUCUCUUGAAUAAAAAUUUCACUUACCUAACUUCGUUUGGAGAAAUGGCAUAUUUUAAUUUUGUACGUCAUUGCUAAUAAAUGGAGCAAUUUAGCAUGUUUUGUGACUGAAACUGCAAAUGUCCAAUUGGCAUUUCUUCAUUUCCCACUUAGGAUCUGAUCUUGUAGACCAUAUAACGAUAUGUAUCUGUGCAAGCAUUGAAAACUAAUGUGAACUAUGAGGAGUUACAAGCCACUGGACUGUAGAGCGAGUGCCAAGAUUUAAAUCUUCAGGCUCUAUCUGGGUAAGGGGAGGAUAGCGACCUAACCUUUUACCAAAGGCUUAGAAUUUAGACUUUUGGAAAAAAAUUUCUCAUGUUUUGGCUGGAUUUCUUGUGCUUGGCGCAAAAAGGAGAUGGCCUCAAGAAAUAGCAGACUCACUUUUGUUUUCAGCCCUUAAUAAUUCUCCACUGCUUUCCAUAACUACAUGGGUUAUACAUGCAGUCUGCUGCAAUAUUCCAGUUAUAUUUAUUAUUUCAAAGAGGGUGAAUGACUUCACAUGCAAUAUGUUGCAGUAACAACCCAAAUUUUGGCACACCAUCUUAAGAAUAGAAAAGUAUAAUAAAAGAAAUCAAUCAGAGAAUCACUUUGCAUGCAGUUCAUAGAGUUCGCCCAAAAUGGAGCCACAUGUACGGACAACCCCACAAUAGACAAUCUUCUCUAUACAGUAAUAAAAUACAGAAAUGGUUAAUGAAGCUCUGUAUUUCCUUAUCAUAUAUGACCGGUUGAAAACUCAGCAAGUCUUCCUCAAUCACAGACAGUUGGAGUUGCUUCAUCAAAAUCAUGCCUUCAUUACUGGCUUCAUUUUGGUUUCAAUGUCUGUUCUACCCUUAAAUUGGGUCUCUGCUUACUACCGGGAUAUCCUUUAGCGUCCUGCAAUUCUACUAGAUUAAAGAGAAUGACUUAAUUCUGCAUUCUGCCGUCCCUAGUCCAAGUGGUACUAGAAUUGAUGUUUCCUUUAGUGUCCUUUCUUCAUACUUUCAGGUUCUUCCCUUGUUUCAAUAAUGCUGUUUUCCUUCAUGUUUAACCUCUGUUGAACCACUUAAAACAACACAAUUUGCACACCAAUGUUUCUUUACAGAAAAGACUGUUUGCAAAAAUGCACAUGUUAUAAGGUUAAUGGAAGAAUUAAUUUGGGGAUAAGGGACUAGGAUUGGGCCAAUGAAGUUUGGUGUUAAAUUUUGAUUAUGAUUGCUUUUCAUUAUCAGGUACCUUAUAUUUGCUGAUGCUAUCUGGAACUAAAUUCAAAUCAGACAUUAUCCGAUUACUAACAGGACAUAUCAUGUCCCUCUGCAGAGUUUCUAAACUAACAUGUAUCGAAAUGUGGCCCCAAAAGGAAGGCUAGGAAGAUGGAGGAUUUUGUAGGAAUCGACCAGAAUCAGAUGGAAGAGAGAUAGUCCUGUUGACUUUAAUGGUUGUGAUAGGAACAUGCAUCAUUAUAUGAGAAGUUGCAUGAAUUUAUGUAUCCUGUUAUCGUUCCUUGACGAUUUCCCAAUGCAAUUUCACUGUCCACAAGACUAACCUCUCCAUGCAGUCAAAUGAAUUGUAAUUUCUCUAUUGGUACCAGUAGUACAUUUCAUACCAAACAUAUAGUAAAUAUAAAAUAUAAAUAGAUCAAGGAAAUCUGAAUUGUAGAUAGCACUGCAAGUAACACUCAAUAUUCUCUAUAUAUAAUAAAAUAAACAGUGUCACAAUACUCAUCACCCAGUGGCAAGGGAGAAAAACCUACAAUGAGUACUCAAAUCACCAUUCUCAAACAGAAACAUAGCAGUGACUGAUACAUAGAACCUAUAUGCUCACAGGGAAAGAAUAAGAUGACCAGUGCACAGCGGGCAGCAGCUCUUAUUUUACGUACAACUCAAAUCCCAAACUAACCAAAGUCGCUCAGUUGGGAUGGGUGGGAGAUGGUGGUUUGUGGGAUGGCUUCUGGGUAGGAGCUGGUGGCUUCUGUCCCUUUGGUGGUUUGCCUAAUGAGCUUGGUGGCUUGUGCUCCGGGAGUUGUUUCUCUCCCUCGAGUAGGUUUCGAGUCUUGUCAGAUGGCUUGUGUUCUGGUGGUGGCUUCUCUCCCUGGGGUGGUUUGCCGAAUGGGCUUGGUGGCUUGUGUUCGGGGAGUGGCUUCUCUCCCUGGAGAAGGUUACGAGUUUUGUCAUAUGGCUUUUGUUCUGGUGGUGGCUUCUCUCCCUGGGGUGGUUUGCCGAAUGGGCUUGGUGGCUUGUGUUCGGGGAGUGGCUUCUCUCCCUGGAGAAGGUUACGAGUUUUGUCAGAUGGCUUGUGUUCUGGUGGUGGCUUCUCUCCCUGGGGUGGUUUGCCGAAUGGGCUUGGUGGCUUGUGUUCGGGGAGUGGCUUCUCUCCCUGGAGAAGGUUACGAGUUUUGUCAGAUGGCUUUUGUUCUGGUGGCGGCUUCUCUCCCUGGGGUGGUUUGCCAAAUGGGCUUGGUGGCUUGUGUUCGGGAACUGGCUUCUCUCCCUUGGGAGGUUCAGUUGGUGGCUGCUGUUCCGUAGGUGGUUUCUUCACCGGCGGCUUGUGCUCCGGAAGCGGCUUCUCUACCUGGAGAAGCUUACGAGUUUUGUCCGAUGGCUUGUGUUGUGGUGGUGGCUUCUCUCCCUGGGGUGGUUUGCCAAAUGGAGUUGGUGGCUUGUGUUCGGGGAGUGGCUUCUCUCCAUUGGGAGGUUUAGUUGGUGAUUGGUGUUCCGUAGGUGGUUUCUGAAGUGGGGGAUGCUUGGGGUAGUCAGCAAGAGACGAGGUAGUGAGAACCACCAGUCCCAGCAGCAACACUAGCAAGCAUGUGGAAGACAUCUUUGAGUUCAGGCUGAGAUCUGUGCAAGGAUAACAGAAUUAGGUGGCCUUUUAUAGAGGCCUGGACCCAACACCCAUAUGACACGUGUCAUGCACUCAUGGUGACACAUAAUUCUAUGGGACCAUUUGGGUCCUACAGAAGUUGCAAAGUUGGACUACUGAGGUGUGAUCACAACUUUUGUCCUUAUUGCUUUCUCUGCGGCCAUUGCACGAUUUCCUUUAGCAUCAUUUUCUUGGCUAAAUAAGCGUAUUAUAUUUGUGGCAGACCGUCCACGUGUCAUAAACAGAUAUAUUAUAAUAAUGUAGUAUGCUUUUCUCCAAUGGAACAUGACACUCUUCUAAGUCUUGUUUUAAAUAUUGUGCAGGAUUACUUUAUACGUUGCAGUUCCAAGUCAAAAUUGGUGGGCAAACGUUGGCCUUUUUUCAUUUCACCUAAGAUUAAUGCUCACCUGGGAUAGGCACUACAUGACUUAUCUGCUCUUUUACUGUAAAGUUGCUUUGUGUAUGAGAUACACCUCCCCUGCACACCCUCAACAUUCGUUGCUCUGUUUUCCUUGUGUCCAGACGAGGAUAUUAAUUGGAGGCUGACAAAACGACUGCUAGCCCAGGAUUUACAAGGUCCUGGUUUGAGGCUUCGGUGAAAGUAUUUUUGAAAAGACACACAUAGAGAUAGUGCGUUUGGUGCAAUGCAGCACUGUGAGCCAUUCUGACGCGUUCUUAAUUUCAAAACUAAUGAAUGCUUCAAAAUUUUAAGAAGUGACAUUUCCAAAUAUUUGAGUUCGUUUAAUUGAACAUUGGAUAACUAGUGAUCAUAGAUUAUUAUCUGUGCUUGGCACUAUAAGAGGGUAUAUGCUUCUUUUUCUGGCCCCUCCUUCAAGGGAGGAGGGACAAUGUGAUCUGUAACGUUAGAAGCUAUUCCAUGUCAUCUUUGGGCUCAGUUCAAAACUAAAAGAUAAUGGGGGGGGGGGGGGGGGGCAUAUCAUUUUAUAUUUCUUCUAGAAGGUUUGUUCUGGAAAUAUUUCACAGGAGCAUAUCUUUUUCUUCUAUUACGUCAUCCGCAGCCUCCAAUAGGUCGGUUAACAAGCCACCGAGUUGAAAAGUUGGAAAAAUGGGAACACAGCCCGCCUCUUGUAUUCAGUAGUUAAAUAAAAGGUCACUAGAAGUGAGAUCCCUUUUGGCGUCUUGAUUUUCAAUCCAGCACCUCUGUGACCUGACAAACCAAAAAAACUAAAAAAUAAAAAACAGUACGUGGGUUGGUGUUAAGCAUCAAGACAUGUUAAUGAAAGAAGGUAGAGAAUAGGAUAUUGAAAUCCCAAUCCUGAUAACAUGAUUUUCUUUGCUAACAACCAUAUUAUAUUUUAUCAAGAAAGAGUAAUGCAUGUGGCGUCCAUCAAGACCCAUUAGAGUUCCGCUAAAGCUAUAGUUCUGUCAACGUUAUCAUUUACGUUUCCUCUAGAUAAUGGCAUUUUCCUCUAAAGCUCUUGCACCAUUAGGCUUCAAGUCAAAAUUUCACAUGUGAACUUUGGAAAUUUUCUCCAUUUGCCCCUAAGGAUACAGUUAGAAUUGACUUAAAAUCCUGAUUGAUAUGUACUAUUAACCAAAGAAUAUUGUAUAUAAUAAUUGAAAUAUUGUUGAUUCAUCGUGGAAAUACAUUUUGUAAGGAAAGUUGUUGAGAAUUUAGUAUGCUAUAUGGAGAAAAAAGUCAUGACUUAAGGUUGUGUAUGUAUAUUCUAUAUCAAAUAUUAGGUAGGAAUGUGGGAAAGAGCAGAGUGUAAUGAUAAGAAACAAAGAAAUAUAAGAUAUUCUUGAAAGUGGAAAAUAUAAAAUGGCUAACGAGUCAAAUUUAUGAUGCGUAAGGGGGAUCAUGUCACAUAAGAAAACCAUGGCAUACUAAAGACGUACGUGUGGUAUGGAGUAAUAAUUUUGUUAAAAUAAGUUUCUUGUUGGAGUACAUUAGGUGACUAUUCAUAACGUAUCAAAUUAAAGAGUCAAGUGCAUCAAUGAAGGCAUAUGUAGAAAAUUUGUUUGUGACAUGUACCAUAAAGAUAAGAUUGACUUGAUAGAAUUUAGUCUAAGUAGGAGUUGUUAAAGGUGUCUUAAAUUUCUAAUUGAUGUAUAUUUUUUUCUAAAAAAAUAUUAUAUAGAUAUUUUAAUAAAUGAUUAAUUCUUUGUAAAAAUACUUACAUAAUAAAAAACAUCAUUAAAAAUAUCUUUAUAAAUAUUUUAAGUUACAAGAAGGAAAAAAACCACUGUGAGAUAAUGAUGAACAUGCAACACUGUACCAAGUAAAUAAAAAUGUGAUAAAAAAAAAAGAGAAACACUCGAUAAAGGAAGGCUCGUAUAUAAAGAGUAAUAUUUUUAAUCAUAUGAUAGAAUGAUUUUCUCUCAUUCAUGAAUAUAGGCAAGAUUGGGGAACCAUUAUAAAAUUUUGUACACCUCGUGUAAAUUGAUGUUUGUCUUCAUAUUUUACACCAACAAAUGACAUUGAAGUUGUCAUUGAUAAAAGGGAAAAGGCAUGCCUCCACACCAUGUGCUUGAUUCGAAUGGUUCAAGUUUGAAGAAUUUUCUCCGGAAGAUCUAAAACAUUUUCGCCUUUAAAUUUCAUUUGAUUAUUAAUAUCCGAAAAAAUAGUUAAAUACUCUUUCUAUUUUUGAGUUGUUGAAUUUUUUGAAAGUUUUUAUAUUUGUUAUCAAGAAUUUCUAUUUUAUUAAGGGUGAAUAUUUAUAAAUAAGAUAUUAUAUAAUAUUUGGAUAAGAGAGAAUGGUGGAAUAUAAUAAAGUUUUAAUCCUUCCCAAUUUUGAACCUUUUUUUUUUUUUUUGAUAUAAUCGCCUUUCUCUUGCAAUCCUAUUAUCAGGUACCUUAUAUUUGCUGAUGCUAUCUGGAACUAAAUUCCAAUCAGGCAUUGUCCAAUUACUAAUAGGACAGAUCAUAUCUCUCUGUUUCUAAACUAACAUGUAUCGUAAUGUGACCUCAUAAGGAAGGCUAGGAAGAUGGAGGAUUUUGUGGGAAGCGACCAGAAUCAGAUGGAAGAGAGAUAGCCCUGUUGACCUAAUGGCUGUAAUAGGAGAAGCGUGUGGUUUUAUGGGACUUAACUGAUACUAAACCUGUAUGAUGCUUGGAGUGGUGUUUCUUUCAUUUUGUUAAGAAAAUAUGGCAGCAUACAUGCUUUCAACUGAGUGCAUCAGAGCAUCCAUAACAGAUGGUCUGCAACCCUAGGUGCAUGCCACUUUCUGACUGAUAAUGAAAUUGUCAGGUACCUGGCCUUGACUAAGCUCAACAGCAUCACAUAAAGAGAAGCUUUCAUACUUAGAUUACUGUUUAAAGUUUUUGCUUAUUUGAUUUCUUAAUGCCAUUAUGACAUUAUUGAUUCAAUUCUGCUUCCGAUUUUCGAAGUUCUGGGCAUCUACUGAUUGCAUCAUUAUAUGAGAAGUUGCAUGAGUUUAUGUAUCCUGUUAUUGUUCCUUUGCGAUUUCACUGCUCACGGGACUAACCUCUCCAUUCAGUCGAAAUGAAUUGUAAUUUCUUUACUGGUAGCAGUAGUACUUUUCAUAGCAAAGAUAAUAGAAAAUAUGAAAUAUAAAUAGAAGGAAAUCUGGAUUGUAGAUAGCACCAUAAGUAACACUCAAUAUUCACUACAUAAUAAAUAGACAGUGUUACAUAGGUAGAGAAACCUACAAUGAGUACUCAUCACCAUUCUCAAACAGAAACAUAGCAGCGACUUAUACAUAGAACCUAUAGGCUCGCAGGGAAAGAGUAACAUGAUAAGUUCACAGCGGGUAGCAGCUCUUAUUUUACGUAUUACUCAAAAUCUCAAACUAACCAAAGUCACUCAGUUGGGAUGGGUAGGAGAUGGUGGUUUGUGGGGUGGCUUCUGGGUAGGAGCUGGUGGCUUCUUUGUUGGAGUUGAAGGAGGCAUAUUCUUCUGAGGUGGCUUGUAUGACUCUUCGGCACUCUCUGCAGGAGGGUGCCCAGGGUUGUGACCAGAAGGAGGUGGCUUCUGUCCCUUUGGUGGUUUGCCUAAUGGGCUUGGUGGCUUGUGCUCCGGGAGUUGUUUCUCUCCCUCGAGUAGGUUUCGAGUUUUGUCAGAUGGCUUGUGUUCUGGUGGUGGCUUCUCUCCCUGGGGUGGUUUGCCGAAUGGGCUUGGUGGCUUGUGUUCGGGGAGUGGCUUCUCUCCCUGGAGAAGGUUACGAGUUUUGUCAGAUGGCUUUUGUUCUGGUGGCGGCUUCUCUCCCUGGGGUGGUUUGCCAAAUGGGCUUGGUGGCUUGUGUUCGGGAACUGGCUUCUCUCCCUUGGGAGGUUCAUUUGGUGGCUGGUGUUCCGUAGGUGGUUCCUUCACCGGCGGCUUGUGCUCCGGAAGCGGCUUCUCUACCUGGAGAAGCUUACGAGUUUUGUCAGAUGGCUUGUGUUGUGGUGGUGGCUUCUCUCCCGGGGGUGGUUUGCCAAAUGGACUUGGUGGCUUGUGUUCGGGGAGUGGCUUCUCUCCAUGGGGAGGUUUAGUUGGUGGUUGGUGUUGCGUAGGUGGUUUCUGAAGUGGGGGAUGCUUGGGGUAGUCAGCAAUAGACGAGGUAGUGAGAACCACCAGUCCCAACAGCAACACUAGCAAGGAUGUUGAAGACAUCUUUGAGUUCAGGCUGAGAUCUGUGCAAGGAUAAAAGAUUUAGGUGGCCUUUUAUAGAGGGCUGGACCCAACACCCAUAUGACACGUGUCAUGCACUCAUGGUGACACAUAAUUCUAUGGGACCAUUUGGGUCCUACAGAAGUUGCAAAGUUGGACUAUUGAGGUGUGAUCACAACUUUUGUCCUACUUGCUUUCUCUGCGGCCAUUGCACGAUUUCCUUUAGCAUCAUUUUCUUGUCUAAAUAAGCGUAUUAUAUUUGUGGCAGACCGUCCACGUGUCAUAAACAGAUAUAUUAUAAUAAUGUAGUAUGCUUUUCUUCAACGGAACUUGACACUCUUCUAAGUCUUGUUUUAAAUACUGUGCAGGAUUACGUCAUAAGUUGCUUGUUCCAAGUCAAAAUUGGUGGGCAAACGUUGGCCUUUUUUCAUUUUCCCUAAUAUUAAUGCUCACCUGGGAUAGGCACUACAUGAUUUAUCUGCUCUUUUACUGUGAAGUUGCUUUGUGCAUGAGUUACACCUCCCCUGCACACCCUCAACAUUUGUUGCUCUGUUUUUCUUGUGUCCAGACGAGGAUAUUAAUUGGAGGCUGACAAAACGACUGCUAGCCAAGGAUUUACAAGGUCCUGGUUUGAGGCUUUCACGAAAGUAUUUUUGAAAAGAUACACAUAGAGAUUGCGCGUUCGGUGCAAUGCAACAAUGUGAGCCAUUCUGAAGUCUUAAAUUUCAGAUUAAUGAAUGCUACAAAAUUCUAAGAAGGGCCGUUUCCAAAUAUUUGAGUUCAUUCAUCCGAACAUCGGGUAUAUGCUUCUUUCUCUAGCCCCUCCUUGAAGGGAGGAGGGACAAUGUGAUCUGUAUCGUUAGAAGCUAUUCCAUGUCGUCAUCUUUGGGCUCAGUUCAAUACUAAAAGAUAUGGGCGGGGCCCUUAUCAUUUUAUAUUUCUUCUAGAAGGUUUAUUCUGGAAAUCUUUCACAGAAACAUAUCUUUUUCUUCUCUACGUGAUCCGUGGUUUGAAAGUUGGAAAAAUGGGUCCGUUAACAAGCCACCGAGUUGAAAAGUUGGAAAAAUGGCAACACCGCCAACCUCUUGUAUUCGAUAGUUAAAUAAAAGGUCACUGGAAGUGAGAUCCCUUUUGGCCUCUUGAUUUUCAUUCCAGCAUCUCUAUGGCCUGAUAAAUUAAAAAACUAAAAAAAAAGACAGUACGUGGGUUGGUGUUAAGCAUCAAGAGUCAAGACAUGAUAAUGGAGAGAAAGGAUAUUCAAAUUCCAGUUCUGACAACAUGAUUUUCUUUGCUGAACUACCAUAUUAUAUUUGAUCAAGAAAGAGUAGUGCAUGUGGCCAGGAUCAAGACAUACAUUAAUUUCCACAUGAUGAAGACAGUUUCUGAGAGUUUCUUCUAAAGCUCUUGCGCGAGUAGGCUUCAAGUCAAAAUCUCCCAUGUAAACACUGGUUUUUCUUUCAUUGCCACUAAGGAUGCAGUUAAUAUUGACUUAAGAUCCUACGUGAUAUAUUUUUUUAAAAGAGCUAUAUUGUAGAUAAUAUUUGAAAUAAUGUUGAUUCGUUGUGGAAAUAUAUUUGUAAGGAAAGUUGUUGACAAUUUAAUAUAGUAUAAGAAGAAAAAAGUUAUCAACUAGCUAGAGAUGAGUAUGUAAAGUGAGGCUCACGAUUCAACGCGUAAAUAUAAGAUAUUUUAAGGCUCAAUAGUUAUGAUAUCUAUUUUAUUUUUUGUAUCUCAUAUAUUCAAAGAUAUAGUAAAAUGAUUUUACAUAUAUAUAUAUAUAUAUAUAUGAACAUAACUAUUUGUGCCAAUUGAUUUUUAUCUUUAUUUUGUAUAUUAGUAAUUAUAUUAAAGUUUUUACUAAUAUAAUAACUAAUAUAAAAGCUUUUUCUAAAAGAGUCAACAGAGCAAAACACUUAUUAUAAAAAAUAAUUUUGAUUGAAGGUGGAGUCAAUUAUUCUUUAUUUAACAUGUAAUGCAUACGGCGUGUACUUCAUAACUAAAGUAUAUAAGUGUAACAUCUCUUAUAUAUUCUCAUUCAAUCUCGAAAGUGGAAAUUUUAAAAAGAUUAAACGGUUCAAAUUUGUCGUGCAUAAAGGGGAUCAUGUCACAUAAGCAAACCAUGGCAUACCAAAGACAUAGGUAUGGACUAAGAAUUUUUUUCAAAUAAGUUUCUUAUUAGGGUACAUUAAUAGGUGACUUUUUAUGACAUAUCAAAGGAGUCAAGUGCACCAAUAAAAACAUAUAUAGAAAAUUCAUGCAUGACAUGUAUCACUAAGAGAAGAUUGACUUGAUAGAGUUUAAUCCAAAUAGGAGAUUGUUAAAAGGUGUCUCAAAUUCUUGAUUGAUAUAUAUUUUUUUUAUUAAAAAGGUUAUUAUAUAGAUAUUUCAAUAGACUAUUAAUUCUUUGUAAAAAUAGUUAUAUAAUGAGGAUGGUGAUUAAAAAUAUCUCUAUCAAUAUUUUGGAUUAUAAAAAGAAAAAAAAUGAGAUAAUGAUAAACAUAUAAAACUUGUACAAGUAGAUAAAGAUGUGAUGAAAGACACUUGAUGAAUGAAGGCUUUGUAUUUCAAGAUAUAAAUAUAUGGAGCAAAACUCUUAAUUAUAUGAUCAAAUGAUUCUCUCAUAUUCAUGAAUAUAAGCAGGAUUGGGGAACCAUGAUAGAAUCUUAUAUGCCUCUCCAUGUAGAGUGAUCGAUGUUUAUCUUCAUAUUUUACACCAGUGAAUGACAUUGAAACUCUUAUUGAUAAAAGGGAAAAGGCAUGGCCUCCACCCCAAGAAAAACAAGUAACCUCGGUUUAAAUCACUAGUCUACACCCCGAAGAGAGAACUAGCCAAACCUACUAAAAGAGAAACUUAACAAUUUAGAAAGAAACCGUCCAUGAUAAAGGGCCCCUAAAGGUCCAAUUCAGUGAGGUCGUGAACAAAAACACUUUCAUGUCAAAACAGAGAUAGGUACCACCAAAAUGUAAAGGGAAAGAUGUAAACCACGUCGAACUUUGGUAAUCAAUGGUAAAGAUAGCAUGAUAGCUAAAAGCACUAAAGCUGUGCUUGGUAUGCAAAAAUGAAAAGUGGAAAUCAGCGUCUUAUUCUUUUUCACCUUUAUUCACAUAUUAGGAUAACUAAUAUCUAAUGUUUUUUAUGUCUCAAAUUCUAUUCCAUGUUAUGGUAAACUUUCAUCUUGUUUAGAUCACUUUUGUCUGGUUUGGGCUCAAGACGAUAAGCCUAUAGAGACUUCAUAUUGGGUUGAAUCGAUGCCCUUGAUCUGAUCUGUUCGUUAGAAAAAUCUGAAUUAUUAUAAGCAUUUAGAUAAAAAAUAAAUAAAUGUGAAACACAAACUACUCCCUGCACAACCUUGACCCUAGUUACUCAGUUUCACUGCUCACAGGACUAACCUCUCCAUUCAGUCGAAAUGAAUUGUAACAAGAAGAUUUUUGACAGGAGGACGGUAGUUUAAAAUAAUAAUUUCUAAAGUACUUUUGUGAAAAAAAAUAAUUCCAAACGUGGAUUUUAUCAAGUAAAAAGAAAAAAAAAAGUUAUUUUCUUUUAAAAUCUGUUCUUCUAAAGAUGAUAUAUAUACCAAAAAAAAAAAUUGUUUUCUGAAGGUAAAAUUUUUAAAAUUCAUUUUUAAAAAAAUUUACACACUAAAAUUAUCUUUUCAAGAGAAGAUUUUUUUAAUUUUAAAUAAUUAUUAAUUUAUAAUUAAUUUGUUAUUAAUUAUUUAUUAAUUUUUUUAUUUGAAAAAUGCAUUUAUAAAAAACAAAUUUGUUAUUAAUUUAUUAAAUAAUUUUUACAAAAUAAAUAAUUUUUUUUUAUUUUAAUUUUAAAAUUAAUUUUAUUAUAUAAAUUUUAAAAUUAAAAAUAUUAAUAUUUAAUUUAAAAUUUAACUAUAAAAGGAAUAAAAUAUAGAAAAAUAAAUUAAUUUAUUAUUCAAUAAAUUAAUUUUCAAUAAAAUUUUCAGCAUUAAGAGAUAAAUUUUUAAGUAUUAAUCAAUUUAAAAAGAAAUAAUGAUCAUUUGUAUAUUAAGAUAUUUUAUUUAGUAAUUAUGAAUGAUAAACAACUAAAGUAAUUUGAAAAAAUAAUAAAAUAUUUAAAAAAUAAUAAUUUAAUACACGUAAAAUUAGAAAUGAUUAACUAUUUUUUAUUAAGAAAAAAUUGAGGAAAUAUUUUGUUAUUUAAAAUUUUUUAUUUGUUUUCAAUUUUUAAUGUUAUAGGUUUCAAGAAAAUUGAUCAAAUAAAAAUUAAGAAGUCAUUUUUUCAAAAACUAUAUAUCUAAAUAAAAGCCUUGAAAUUCAAAUACACAAUAUCAUAAAUAUAAACACCAAGUCAAUCCUUAAUUAUCAAAUGUUUUUAAUAUUAAAGAAUCAAAAUCACCUACUAUCAUGAUAAUAAGAAAACCAAUAAUAUUGUUCAUAUAAAUACUAAAAAGCUAACAAAUAUCCCAAACAAUUAAUAAAGUAUCAAACAUGAUAAAAAGUCAAUUAUUAUCAUGAAUGCAAAAAAUCAAUAAUUUUGUUUAUAUGAACCAUCAACAAAGAAAAAAAAAAUCAAUAUCUAAAUAUUAAACAUAAUUUAUAUUUUUAUAAAUAUUAUUGUUGAUAAAUAUCUUAACAAUUAUAAUUUUAGUAAAUAAAAUUAAUUAAUUUUAGUUUAAGAAUUAUUUUUUUAUACUUUCGUAUUCUUAUCAAAAAUCCCCAUUUUGCAUGUCUCCUUUGGCAUGACUUUCUUACCUAAACAAGCAUAUAUAUAUAUAUAUAUAUAUAAAAUAUUUGGUUAAGAAAGAGUACUAAAGUUUAUAUGGCACACAUCAAGAUAGAAACAGAAGUGGAAGAUAAUCCAAAUGUAUGAACAGAUAUAUUAUAUCCAUGUAGUGGUAGUGACUUCAUUAUUUACUUUUAUCUAAUGGAGCAUGACACACUUCUUCUGAAUAUUUUGCACGAUUAUGUUAUGUGUCAGCUUGUUCUAAGUCAAAACUAGUGAUAAAAAUCGGUUUUUUUUGCAUUUCCUUCAUGAAGAUGGCACCUGGAUGGGGCACUACAUGAGUGGCAUAGCACGAAGUGAUUUAUCUGCUCCCUUUACUAUAAAGUGCUUUGUGUAUAAGUUACACCUCCCCUGCACUGCCUCAACAUUUGUUGUUCUGUCUUCCGUCUGUCCAAACGAGGACAAACGUAUGUUGUAGGUUGACAAAACCACAGCUAGCCUAGGAUUUGCAAGGAUCUAGUUUGAUUCGUAUGCAAAAGGAUUGGUGAAAAGAUUCACAAAGAUAAUGCUUUUUGCAAUGCAAUCUUGUUCUAAUUCAACAGUGUGGACCAUUUUCAUGUAAUGCUUCAACUAGAUGUCAGUUUCAUGAAUUUUUGUUCAUCUAAUUGAUCACUGGAUAGGCCAUAACCCGAAGAAAUUCAAAAUUCCCUUCAGUACUGUAGCUAAGGAAAGAUCCCUAUCUACCACUGGGAUUUUAAGAGGGUAAAAAUGUAGGUGGGUGCCUAUAUCAUUUGCACUUCACUAUAGGCCUCUUUGGGAAGAUUUCUUCUGAAGACAUUUCAAAGAAACAUAUUUUUCUCUUCUCUCCGUAAACGGCAGCUGCAAGUCAGUCCAUUCACAGGCCACCGAGUUGAAAAGGCUGGAAAAUUGGCCAAAGCACCCGCCUCCUGGAUUCCAUGGGUAAGGAAAAGGUCACUGGAGGUGUGAUCCCUGUUGGCCUCUUGAUUUCCAUUCCGCCAUCUAUAUGACCUGAUAACCCAAAAACACAGAAGGAAAACGUCACCUGGGUUCAUAGUAAGCAUCAAGUCAUGAUAGAGACCAGACAACAUGACCAACAAAGAGUAGCGAAUGGGGCCAACAUCAAGCCCCAUUACGGUUAGAAGAUGGAAGAAGUAGAAGACAAUCCAAUUCUGAUAGAUUCGGGCAAAUGUAGUGCUGUUCAAACUUAAUCAUUUACUAUUUCUUCAUGAAUCACGGCAUUUUUCUUCUGAAAAUUUUCCAAGAUUAGGCCUCUGAAGAAAAAUUUCAUAUGUAAAUUGGUAUAUUAAGGAAAAGGCGUUACAAAGGUGAAAAAAAACCAAUCAAAUCUUAUAUAUGACAUCUCAAAAAUAUGAACUUGCUAUAAAUAUUUAAAAUCAAAAUCUUGCACAUCACCUCGUAGUACGAACUUGCUAUAAAACUUGAAAAUCAAGAAGAAAGGGGCAGUAUUGGACGAGACUACUUAGCACAUAUUAUUAUGAUGUUUUUUCAUUUUCUUAAUGUUGUUUUUAUGUCUUAAAUUCUAUUAUUCUAUGUUACGGUAAACAUUCAUCUUGUUUGUGUGGAAUAGGAUCACUUUUCUCUGGGUUGAGUCGAUGCCCUUAGUUAAUUUGUUCAUUUGAAUAAACUAAAUUAUUAUAAGUAUUUAGAUAAGAAAAACGUGAUACAUAAAUUACGCCUCUCGGCACAACUUCAACACUGGUUACUCUGUUUCAGUUUCCUCACACAAGAUUAUUGGUUCUAGGGUUUAUUUGGUUUUGGUUUGAUUCUAAUUGCUAAACUUUCUCAAGGAAGAUGUUAUAUAGGGAGUGAGAAACCUUCACUCUUGGCUACCUCCAAGAGAAGAGCAAGUGGUCUGAAUCAAAGAUAUACUGCUCACUUUUUCUUCUUCUAAGGACAGCUAUGACCUUGCUUUAAGGUUCGAAUAGCCUAAUGCAACCUCCCAUUUCUCAAGUCAGCUGAUGAUGUAAGUCACCUUGGCUUUCCACAUUCAUACGGUGAGGACGUUUGUGGGUGUAAUUCUCUUAACAGUUUUCAUUUUAUAUGGAAAAAUUCAUAAUUAAGGGUAAUUACUGAUUCCAUUUGACAGUGACCAAGUUUAAAAUAUUAAUUCAUAUAUUAAAUGCACAUUAAAAAAUCAUGGAAUAAAUAUAUUUACUAAUAUAUAGUUCUUUUGCCAUGUUCUGUCACAGAAGCAUCGAACUUUCCCUAGAAAUUUUUGCAUGGUAUUCUACUUAUGAUUUUGAAAACUCUAGGCACCUGAGGCCACUAAUUGCAUGGUUGGAUGAGGAGCUGCAUGAGAUUAUGUAUCGUGUUGUUCCUUAACUACAAAUAUCAGUUUUAAGUAGCAUCUCCAUGUGACAUUUUCCUGAUGCAAUUUCGCUGUCCACCAACAAAUUUCACCAUGCAGCAAGAUGAAUUGUAAUUUCUUUAUUGUUAUCAACAGCUUUAAUUAAUCUUGAUAUAUAUAUAUAACUUAGUAGAAGUAUAUUAAUCUAGAUUGUAGUUGCACUAAGAUAAUAGGCAAUAUUAUAACAGUGCCACAAUGCUCAUCGCCAAAUAGAAAGGUAGAAAAACUACAAUGAGUAACUCACAACAUUCUCAAACAGGACAUAGCGGCGACUGAUACAUAGAACACUAUUGGCACUCAGGAAAUGAUAAGAUCAGUGCCCAGCAGGCAGCACGUCUUAUUUUACAUACUACUUAAAACUAACCAAAGUCAUUCAGUUGGGAUGGGUGGGAGAUGGUGGUUUGUGCGGUGGCUUUUGGGUAGUUGGUGGCUUCUUUCCUGGAACUGAUGGUUUUUUUGUUGGAGUUGAAGGAGGCUUAAUCGUCUGAGGUGGCUUGUAUGAGUCUUCAGCACUCUCUGCGGGAGGGUGCCCAGGGUUGUGACCAUAAUGGGGUGGCUUCUCUCCCUUAGUUGGUUUGCCAAGUGGGCUGGCUGGCUUGUGCUCCGGGAGCGGCUUCUCUCCCUUAGGUGGUUUGCCAAAUGGGCUUGCUGGCUUGUGCUCUGGGAGCGGCUUCUCUCCCUCAAGAAGUUUACGGGUUUUGUCAGAUGGCUUGUGUUCUGGUGGUGGCUUCUCUCCUUGGGGUGGUUUGCCAAAUGGACUUGGUGGCUUGUGUUCGGGGAGUGGCUCCUCUCCCUUGGGAGGUUUAGUUGGUGGCUGGUGUUCCAUAGGUGGUUUCUCAACCGGGGGCUUGUUCUCCGUUGGUGGUUUAUGAACUGGGGGAUGCUUGGGGUAGUCAGCAAGAGACGGGGUGGUGAGAACCACCAGUCCCAGCAGCAACACUAGCAAGUAUGUGGAAGAGUACAUCUUUGAGUUCAGGCUGAGAUUUGUGCGAGACUUGAAGAAUUAGGUGGCCUUUUAUAGCUGGCUGCACCCAACACUCACAUGACACGUAUCAUGGUGACACAUGUGCUAUGGGUCCAUUUGGGUCCUACAGAAGCUGAAAACUUUUGACUAUUGAGGUGUGGUCACAACUUUUGUCCCUAUUGCUUUCUCCGCAACCGUUUUACAUGUUUCCUUUGGCAUAAUUUUCUAAGCUAAACAAGCAUAUAUCAUAUUUGGUUAAGAAAGAGUAAAGUGUAUAUGGCACACAUCAAGGAAGAGAAACAGAAAAAGUGGGAGACAAUCAAUUGUGAUAAACAGAUAUAUUAUAUUCAUGUAGUACUAGUGACUUUAUCAUUUACUUUUAUCCAAUAGAUCAUCACUCUUUCUUCUAAAUAUUUUGGAGGAUAAUGGUACAUGUUGCUUGUUUCCAAGUCAAAAUUGGUGGCAAAAAUCGGCAUGAUACGAAAGGAUUGGUGAAAAGAUUCACAUAGAUGGUGCUUUGUGCAAUGCAGUCUUGCUCUAAUUCAACAGAGUGGACCAUGGUGAUGUAUUUUAAAUUUUAAAUUUUAAAUUAAUGCAUGCUUCAAAGUUUUAACUAGAUGUCACUUCCAUGGAUUUUUGUUCAUUUAAUUGAGCACAGGAUAGGCUAUCAAACUUGAAGUAAUAUAAAAAUCCCUUCAUUACUGUAACUAAUGAAAGAUCAUUAUCUGCGCUUGGUAUUUUGCCAAGGUAUUUGCUGCUCUUUCUAGCCCUGUCUUACAGUUAAGGACAAUGUGAUCUAGUUAACCUUAGAAGCUAUUCCAUGUCAGAUACAAGAGAUCAAGCACAUUAUCUUUGGGCUCAGUUCAAAACUAUAAUAUAUGGGUGGGGUGGAGGCCCAUAUCAUUUGCAUAUCACCACUAUUGGUUUAGUUUGGAAGGUUUCUUCUGGAAGAUUGCUGCUUUCUGGAAUCAUUUCAAAGAAAUAUAUCUUUUUGUUCUCUUGGUGACGAGCAGCGGCAAUCAAGUCUGUUGACAAACAACCGAGUUGAAAAGUUUGAAAAUUGGUCACAGCCCACGUCCAUGGUUAAGGAAAAGGUCACUGGAAGUGAUCCCUUCUGGGCCUCUUGAUUUCCAUUCUGACAUCUAUAUGACCUGAUAAAUAGAAAGAAAAAAAAACAGAAGAAAAGCGGCACCCGGGUUCAUAGUAAGCAUCAAGACAGGAUACUGAAAGAAGGGAGAAAGGAGAUUGCAAGUCCAAUCCUGAUAAAAUGAUCAACAAAGAGUAUCAAAAUGGGGCCAACAUAAAGACCCAUUGAGGUUAGCAGAUGGCAUGGCAUUUUUCUCCUUAAGUUUUCCAUGAUUAGACUUGAAGUCAAAAUUUCACAUGUAAAUUUGUAUUUCUACAUUUCCCACUGACGACACCCAACUUCAACUUGAGUUAGAAUAACAUUGUGUGAACUUAUCUGGCCCUCAAAAUUUACUGUGAAGUGCUUUCUGCGUGUGAAGAUUCAGAAAAGCACCAAGGGAACAUGUAUGGUCUGCCUUUUUCUGAUGUUAUGUUUGUCUCUAAUUCUGUUCCAUGUCAUGGUAAAUGUUCACAUUGCUUGUAUGGAACACACCAGGAUCACUUUUUCGGGUUUAUUUUGAGGCUUCAUAUUGGGUUCAUAUUGGGUUCAAUGCUUUUAAUGUGUUCAUUAGACAAAUCUGAAUUAUCAUAUGCAUUUAGAUAAGAACAAUAAUGUGAAACCCUAGUUACACCUCCCCUGCAUAACCCCAACCCUGCUUACUCUAUUUCAGUUUACUCACACAAGUUUUACCGGUUCUUAUAAGUCAAGAAAAGGCAACUGAUGUUGGAUUGACUCUCUUCCAUGUAUAAAAAGCAACUUUUAUAUAUACAUAAAAUAACUUCUUCCCCUCACCAAUGUGGGAUAUCAUGGAUUUAUUCUGGAAACACAUCAAAGGAACAUCUUUUCUCUUGGGUGACCCUAAGUGGUGAGUCAGACCAUUUGCAUGCCAUUGAGUUGCACAGUUGGAUAAAUGCACCUACCUCCUGGGCUCCAGAGUUAAAAGGGUGGAUCCCUGGAUCGCAACCCUCUUGGCAUCUUGGUUUCCAUUCCAACAUCCACAUGACUUGACAAAACAAAAAACAGAAUAAAAUCAUCACUAUUUUCAUGCUAAGCACCAAUACAUGAUGGAAAUCAUUGCUUAAAGAUUUGGGGUCAUUUAGGUUUUGACUGCCUCCUAACACCUCACCUAAUCACAAGUUUUUAUGCUUACAAAUCAAAUAUCGUUCUUCAUUAUAUUAAAAUCAUUUUAAGAUUUCAGAUCCAUCUGCUAAUUAUGAUUAUGAUAACAUUAAUUCACCUGUGCUUCUCAUUUUCGACACACAAGGCAUCUAGGUUUGCAGGAUUUCCUUAUUAGAUGAGAUAAAUGAGUACGCAUGGUUAUGUAUGCAGCAUUCAUUAACCAUGGUAUGUGACAUUUAGAAUUAAGAUAGCAAGCAAACUUUCCCUGCAGCUUGAGUAAAUUGUGAUUUCUUAGCCUCUAUGAGUGGUUCCCAAAUCAAAUUAACAUAGUGAAAUAUACGUAGUCCAGUGAAAGGAAAUGUAAAUUAUAAACUAACAGCACUACACUACUGGUAACACUCGAUACUCUCUAUAUAAUGCAAUGAAAUAUACGUUAUACGUUGCUUGUUCCAAGUCAAAAUUUGUGGCCAAACGUUGGCCUUUUUUCAUUUUCCCUAAGAUUAAUGCUCACCUGGGAUAGGCACUACAUGAUUUAUCUGCUCUUUUACUGUAAAGUUGCUUUGUGUAUGAGUUACACCUCCCCUGCACACCCUCAACAUUUGUUGCUCUGUUUUCCUUGUGUCCAGACGAGGAUAUUAAGUGGGGGCUGACAAAACGACUGCUAGCCAAGGAUUUACAAGGUCCUGGUUUGACGCUUCCGCGAAAGUAUUUUUGAAAAUAUACACAUAGAGAUUGCGCGUUCGGUGCAAUGCAACAAUGUGAGCCAUUCUGAAGUUUUUAAUUUCAGAUUAAUGAAUGCUACAAAAUUCUAAGAAGGGCCGUUUCCAAAUAUUUGAGUUCAUUUAUCCGAACAUCGGAUAAGUAAUGAUCAUAGAUUAUUAUUAUUAUCUGACGUUCUUAUAAUGGUUGGCAUUAUAAGAGGGUAUAUGCUUCUUUCUCUAGCCCCUCCUUCAAGGGAGGGACAAUGUGAUCUGUAUCGUUAGAAGCUAUUCCAUGUCGUCAUCUUUUGGCUUAAGUCAAUACUAAAAUAUAUGGGCGGGGCCCCUGUCAUUUUAUAUUUCUUCUAGAAGGUUUGUUCUGGAAAUCUUUCACCGAAACAUAUCUUUUUCUUCUCUACGUGAUCCGUGGUUGGAAAGUUAGAAAAAUGGGUCCGUUCACAAGCCACCGAGUUGAAAAGUUGGAAAAAUGGCAACACCGCCAACCUCUUGUAUUCGAUAGUUAAAUAAAAGGUCACUGGAAGUGAGAUCCCUUUUGGCCUCUUGAUUUUCAUCCCAGCAUCUCUAUGUCCUGAUAAACUAAAAAACUAAAAAAAAAACAGUACGUGGGUUGGUGUUAAGCAUCAAGAGUCAAGACAUGAUAAUGGAGAGAAAGGAUAUUCAAAUUCCAGUUCUGACAACAUGAUUUUCUUUCCUGAACAACCAUGUUAUAUUUGAUCAAGAAAGAGUAGUGCAUGUGGCCAGGAUCAAGACAUACAUUAAUUUCCACAUGAUGAAGACAGUUUCUGAGAGUUUCUUCUAAAGCUCUUGCGCUAGUAGGCUUCAAGUCAAAAUUUCCCAUGUAAACACUGGAUUUUCUUUAAUUGCCACUAAGGAUACAGUUAAAAUUGACUUAAAAUCCUACGUGAUAUAUAUCUUUAACAAAAGUAUAUUGUAUAUAAUAUUUGAAAUAAUGUUGAUUCGUUGUGGAAAUAUGUUUGUAAGGAAAGUUGUUGACAAUUUAAUAUAGUAUAAGAAGAAAAAAGUUAUCAACUAGAGAUGAGUAUGUAAAGUGAGGCUCACGAUUCAACGCGUAAAUAUAAGAUAUUUUAAGGCUCAAUAGUUAUGAUAUCUAUUUUAUUUUUUGUAUCCCAUAUAUUCAAAGAUACAGUAAAAUGAUUUUAUAUAUAUGAACAUAGCCGAUAGUAUCAUGUUAAAACCUUAUAUGACUCUUUGUGCCAAUUGAUUUUUAUCUUUAUUUUGUGUAUUAGUAAUUAGUAUUAAAGUUUUUACUAACAUAAUAAUUGAUAUAAAAGCUUUUUCCAAAAGAGUCAAACAGAGCAAAACACUUAUUAUAAAAAGAAUUUUGAUUGAAGGUGGAGUCAAUUAUUCUUUAUUCAACAUGUGAUGCAUACAGCGGGUACUUCAUAACUAAAGUAUAUAAGUGCAACAUCUCUUAUACAUUCUCAUUCAAUCUCGAAAGUGGAAAAUUUUAAAAGAUUAAAUGGUUCAAAUUUUCCGUGCAUAAAGGGGAUCAUGUCACAUAACCAAACCAUGGCAUACCAAAGCCAUGAUAUGGACUAAGAAUUUUGUUAAAAUAAGUUUCUUAUUAGGGCACAUUAUGUGACUAUUUAUGACAUAUCAAAGGAGUCAAGUGCAUCAAUAAAGACAUAGAAAAUUCAUGCAUCACAUGUACCACUAAGAGAAAAUUGACUUGAUAGAGUUUAGUCCAAAUAGGAGAUUGUUAAAAGGUGCAUCAAAUUCUUGAUUGAUAUAUAUUUUUUUUAUUAGAAAGGUUAUUAUAUAGAUAUUUCAAUAGACUAUUAAUCCUUUGUAAAAAUAGUUAUAUAAUGAGGAUGGUGAUUAAAAAUAUCUCUAUCAAUAUUUUGGAUUAUAAAAAGAAAAAAAAUAUGAGAAAAUGAUAAACAUAUAAAACUUGUACAAGUAGAUAGAGAUGUGAUGAAAGACACUUGAUGAAUGGAGGCCUUGUAUUUCAAGAUGUAAAUAUAUGGAGCAAAACUCUUAAUUAUAUGAUCAAAUGAUUCUCUCAUAUUCAUGAACAUAAGCAGGAUUGGGGAACCAUGAUAGAAUCUUAUAUGCCUCUCCAUGUAGAUUGAUCGAUGUUUAUCUUCAUAUUUUACACCAAUGAAUGACAUUGAAACUCUGAUUGAUAAAAGGGAAAAAGCAUGGCCUCCACCACAAGAAAAACAAGUAACCUCGGUCUAAAUCACUAGUCUACACCCCGAAGAGAGAACUAGCCAAACCUACUAAAAGAGAAACUUACCAAUUUAGAAAGAAAUCUUCCAUGAUAAAGGGCCCCUAAAAGUCCAAUUCAGUCAGGUUGUGAACAAAAACACCUUCAUGUCAAAACAGGAAUAGGUACCACCAAAAUGUAAAGGGAAAGAUGUAAACCAAGUCGAACUUUGGUAAACAAUGGUAAAGAUAGCAUGAUAGCUAAAAGCACUAAAGCUGUGCUUGGUAUGCAAAAAUGAAAAGUGGAAAUCAGCGUCUUAUUCUUUUUCUCCUUUAUUCACAUAUUAGGAUAACUAAUAUCUAAUGUUUUUUUUAUGUCUCAAAUUCUAUUCCAUGUUAUGGUAAACUUUCAUCUUGUUUAAGUGGAAGAGUAGGAUCACUUUUGUCUGGUUUGGGCUCAAGACGAUAAGCCUAUAGAGACUUCAUAUUGGGUUGAAUUGAUGCCCUUGAUCCGAUCAGUUCGUUAGAAAAAUCUGAAUUAUUAUAAGCAUUUAGAUAAAAUAAAUAAAUAAAUGUGAAACAGAGACUAUUCUCUGCACAACCUUGACCCUAGUUACUCAGUUUCACUGCUCACGGGACUAACCUCUCCAUUCAGUCGAAAUGAAUUGUAAUUUCUUUACUGGUAGCAGUAGUACUUUUCAUAGCAAAGAUAAUAGUAAAUAUGAAAUAUAAAUAUAUAGAAGGAAAUCUGGAUUGUAGAUAGCACCAUAAGUAACACUCAAUAUUUACUACAUAAUAAAAGAGAUAGUGUUACAAAGGUAGAGAAACCUACAAUGAGUACUCAUCACCAUUCUCAAACAGAAACAUAGCAGUGACUUAUACAUAGAACCUAUAGGCUCGCAGGGAAAGAGUAACAUGAUAAGUGCACAGCGGGUAGCAGCUCUUAUUUUACGUAUUACUCAAAAUCUCAAACUAACCAAAGUCACUCAGUUGGGAUGGGUAGGAGAUGGUGGUUUGUGGGGUGGCUUCUGGGUAGGAGCUGGUGGCUUCUUUGUUGGAGUUGAAGGAGGCGUAAUCUUCUGAGGUGGCUUGUAUGAGUCUUUGGCACUCUCUGCAGGAGGGUGCCCAGGGUUGUGACCGGAAGGAGGUGGCUUCUGUCCCUUUGGUGGUUUGCCUAAUGGGCUUGGUGGCUUGUGCUCCGGGAGUUGUUUCUCUCCCUCGAGUAGGUUUCGAGUUUUGUCAGAUGGCUUGUGUUCUGGUGGUGGCUUCUCUCCCUGGGGUGGUUUGCCGAAUGGGCUUGGUGGCUUGUGUUCGGGGAGUGGCUUCUCUCCCUUGGCAGGUUCAGUUGGUGGCUGGUGCUCCGUAGGUGGUUUCUUCACCGCCGGCUUCUCUCCCUGGAGAAGGUUACGAGUUUUGUCAGAUGGCUUCUGUUCUGGUGGCGGCUUCUCUCCCUGGGGUGGUUUGCCAAAUGGGCUUGGUGGCUUGUGUUCGGGAACUGGCUUCUCUCCCUUGGCAGGUUCAGUUAGUGGCUGGUGUUCCGUAGGUGGUUUCUUCACCGGCGGCUUGUGCUCCGGAAGCGGCUUCUCUACCUGGAGAAGCUUACGAGUUUUGUCAGAUGGCUUGUGUUGUGGUGGUGGCUUCUCUCCCUGGGGUGGUUUGCCAAAUGGACUUGGUGGCUUGUGUUCGGGGAGUGGCUUCUCUCCAUUGGGAGGUUUAGUUGGUGGUUGGUGUUCCGUAGGUGGUUUCUGAAGUGGGGGAUGCUUGGGGUAGUCAGCAAGAGACGAGGUAGUGAGAACCACCAGUCCCAGCAGCAAUACUAGCAAGGAUGUGGAAGACAUCUUUGAGUUCAGGCUGAGAUUUGUGCAAGGCUAGAAGAAUUAGGUGGCCUUUUAUAGCGGGCUGGACCCAACAACCAAAUGACACGUAUCAUGAUACACAUAUGUGUUAUAAGAUCCUUGUGGGUCCUACAGAAGUUGAAAACUUUGACAAUUGAGGUGUGAUUACAACUUUUGUCCCUAUUGCUUUCUCGUCAGCCGUUUUGCAAGAUUUUUGACAGGAGGACGGUAGUUUAAAAUAAUAAUUUCUAAAGUACUUUUGUGAAAAAAAAUAAUUCCAAACGUGGAUUUUAUCAAGUAAAAAAAACAAAAAAAAGUUAUUUUCUUUUAAAAUCUUUUCUUCAUGAUUCAUAUACCAAAAAAAGAAUUGUUUUCUGUAGGUAAAAUUUUUAAAAUUCAUUUUUAAAAAAAAAAAAUUACACACUAAAAUUAUCUCUUCAAGAAAAUAUUUUUUAAAUUUUAAAUAAUUAUUAAUUUAUAAUUAAUUUUUUAUUAAUUAUUUAUUAAAUUUAUAUGUGAAAAAUGCAUUUAUAAAAAACAAAUUUUUUAUUAAUUUAUUAAAUAAUUAUUUACAAAAUAAAUAAUUUUGCUUUAUUUUAAUUUUAAAAUUAAUUUUAUUAUAUAAAUUUUAAAAUUAAAAAUAUUAAUAUUUAAUUUAAAAUUUAACUAUAAAAGGAAUAAAAUAUAGAAAAAUAAAUUAAUUUAUUAUUCAAUAAAUUAAUUUUCAAUAAAAUUUUCAGCAUUAAGAGAUAAAUUUUUAAGUAUUAAUCAAUUUAAAAAAUAAUAAUAAUCAUUUGUAUACUAAGAUAUUUUAUUUAGUAAUUAUGAAUGAUAAACAACUAAAGUAAUUUGAAAAAAUAAUAAAAUAUUUAAAAAUAAUAAUUUAAUACACUUAAAAUUAGAAAUGAUUAACUAUUUUUUAUUAAGAAAAAAUUGAAGAAAUAUUUUGUUAUUUAAAAUUUUUUAUUUGUUUUCAAUUUUAAAUGUUAUAGGUUUCAAGAAAAUUGAUCAAAUAAAAAUUAAGAAGUCAUUUUUUCAAAAACUAUAUAUCUAAAUAAAAGCCUUGAAAUUCAAAUACACAAUAUCAUAAAUAUAAACACCAAGUCAAUCCUUAAUUAUCAAAUGUUUUUAAUAUUAAAGAAUCAAAAUCACCUACUAUCAUGAUAAUAAGAAAACCAAUAAUAUUGUUCAUAUAAAUACUAAAAAGCUAACAAAUAUCCCAAACAAUUAAUAAAGUAUCAAACAUGAUAAAAAGUCAAUUAUUAUCAUGAAUGCAAAAAAUCAAUAAUUUUGUUUAUAUGAACCAUCAACAAAGAAAAAAAAAAUCAAUAUCUAAAUAUUAAACAUAAUUUAUAUUUUUAUAAAUAUUAUUGUUGAUAAAUAUCUUAAUAAUUAUAAUUUUUUAUAUAUUAAAUUUAGUAAAUAAAAUUAAUUAAUUUUAUAAUAUAAGAUAUAUAUAAUAAUUAAGAGACUAUUUGUCCCAAACAAUUUAUUUAUUUUUUUUUUAGGAAAUUGUCUCUUCAAGAGACGACUUCUCCCAACAUUUUUAAAAAAAAAAAAAAAAACAUCUAUUCAAAAGACGAUUUCUCCUCAUUUUUUAAAAAUGAAUUUUAGAAAUCAUAUUUUCAAAAAUGAAUUUUAGAAAUCAUAUUUUCAAAAGACGAUUUUUUUUUAUAUAAAUUAUUUUUUAAAAUGACGAUUUUAAAAGGAAAUAACGAUCUCUCUCCUACUUGGCAAAAACUAUGGUAAAUUUGGAAUUAUUUCUUCCACAACCAUAGUUUAAGAAUUAUUUUUUUAUACUUUCGUAGACUUAUCAAAAAUCCCUAUUUUGCAUGUCUCAUUUGGCAUGACUUUCUUACCUAAACAAGCAUAUAUAUAUAUAUAUAUAUAUAUAUCACUUUUGUCUGGGUUGAGUCAAUGCCCUUAACUAAUUUGUUCAUUUGAAUAGUCUAAAUUAUUAUAAGCUUUUAGUUAAGAAAAAUGUGAAACAUAAAUUACACCUCUCGGCACAACUUCGACACUGGUUACUCUGUUUCAGUUUAUUCACACAAGAUUAUUGGUUCUAGGGUUUAUUUGGUUUUGGUUUGAUUCUAAUUGCUAAACUUUCUCAAGGAAGAUGUUAUAUAGGGAGUGAGAAACCUUCACUCCUGGCUACCUCCAAGAGAAGAGCAAGUGGUCUGAAUCAAAGAUAUACUGCUCACUUUUUCUUCUUCUAAGGACAGCUAUGACCUUGCUUUAAAAUGUUCGAAUAGCCUAAUGCAACCUCCCAUUUCUCAAGUCAGCUGAUGAUGUAAGUCACCUUGGCUUUCCACAUUCAUACGGUGAGGACGUUUGUGGGUGUAAUUCUCUUAACAGUUUUCAUUUUAUAUGGAAAAAUUCAUAAUUAAGGGUAAUUACUGAUUCCAUUUGACAGUGACCAAGUUUAAAAUAUUAACUCAUGUAUUAAAUGCACAUUAAAAAAUCAUGGAAUAAAUAUAUUUACUAAUAUAUAGUUCUUUUGUCAUGUUCUGUCACAGAAGCAUCGAACUUUCCCUAGAAAUUUUUGCAUGGUAUUCUGCUUAUGAUUUUGAAAACUCUAGGCACCUAAGGCCACUGAUUGCAUGGUUGGAUGAGGAGCUGCAUGAGAUUAUGUAUCCUGUUGCUCCUUAACUACAAAUAUCAGUUUUAAGUAGCAUCUCCAUGUGACAUUUUCCUGAUGCAAUUUCGCUGUCCACCAACAAAUGUCUCCAUGCAGCUAGAUGAAUUGUAAUUUCUUUGUUGUUAUCAACAGCUUUAAUUAAUCUUGAUAUAUAUAUAACUUAGUAGAAGUAAUUAAUCUAGAUUGUAGUUGCACUAAGAUAAUAGGCAAUAUUAUAACAGUGCCACAAUGCUCAUCGCCAAAUAGAAAGGUAGAAAAACUACAAUGAGUAACUCACACAACAUUCUCAAACAGGACAUAGCGGCGACUGAUACAUAGAACACUAUUGGCACUCAGGAAAUGAUAAGAUCAGUGCCCAGCAGGCAGCACGUCUUAUUUUACAUACUACUUAAAACUAACCAAAGUCAUUCAGUUGGGAUGGGUGGGAGAUGGUGGUUUGUGCGGUGGCUUCUUUCCUGGAACUGGUGGUUUUUUUGUUGGAGUUGAAGGAGGCUUAAUCGUCUGAGGUGGCUUGUAUGAGUCUUCAGCACUCUCUGCAAGAGGGUGCCCAGGGUUGUGACCAUAAUGAGGUGGCUUCUCUCCCUUAGGUGGUUUGCCAAGUGGGCUGGCUGGCUUGUGCUCCGGGAGCGGCUUCUCUCCCUUAGGUGGUUUGCCAAAUGGGCUUGCUGGCUUGUGCUCUGGGAGCGGCUUCUCUCCCCCAAGAAGUUUGCGGGUUUUGUCAGAUGGCUUGUGUUCUGGUGGUGGCUUCUCUCCUUGGGGUGGUUUGCCAAAUGGACUUGGUGGCUUGUGUUCGGGGAGUGGCUCCUCUCCCUUGGGAGGUUUAGUUGGUGGCUGGUGUUCCGUAGGUGGUUUCUCAACCGGGGGCUGGUGCUCCGUAGGUGGUUUAUGAACUGGGGGAUGCUUGGGGUAGUCAGCAAGAGACGGGGUGGUGAGAACCACCAGUCCCAGCAGCAACACUAGCAAGUAUGUGGAUGACAUCUUUGAGUUCAGGCUGAGAUUUGUGCAAGACUAGAAGAAUUAGGUGGCCUUUUAUAGCUGGCUGCACCCAACACUCACAUGACACGUAUCACGGUGACACAUGUGCUAUGGGAUCCAUUUGGGUCCUACAGAAGUUGAAAACUUUUGACUAUUGAGGUGUGAUCACAACUUUUGUCCCUAUUGCUUUCUCCGCAACCGUUUUACAUGUUUCCUUUGUGGUGUUUAAUAGUGUUUUUUUCCUUAAUUCUAAAUAAACCUUAAUACUUAAUAAUGUUAAAUAUUAGGUUAUUUAUUUUUAUAAUAUUUUAUUUAUAUUAAGUAUUAAAAAGUAAAGAAAAAUCAAUAUAUUUAUUUUUCUAUUUAGAAAAAACUAUAUAUUUUUAAUUUUUUUAUUUAAUAAAAAAUUUAUAAUAAAUCAUGAAAAAAUAGAAAAACAAACAACCUAAAUUUUAAAAAUAAAUUGUUUUUAGUAAAAACCCAAAAAAACAAACACCACCUUAACUAAACAAAUAUAUAUUAUAUUUAGUUAAGAAAGAGUAAAGUGUAUAUGGCUCAAAUCAAGGAAGAGAAACAGAAUAAGUGGAAGACAAUCAAUUGUGAUAAACAGAUAUAUUACAUGCAUGUAGUACUAGUGACUUUAUCAUUUACUUUUAUACAAUAGAUCAUCACACUCUUUCUUCUAAAUAUUUUGGAGGAUAAUGGUACAUGUUGCUUGUUGCCAAGUCAAAAUUGGUGGCAAAAAUCGGCAUGAUACGAAAGGAUUGGUGAAAAGAUUCACAUAGAUGGUGCUUUGUGCAAUGCAGUCUUGCUCUAAUUCAACAGAGUGGACCAUGGUGAUGUAUUUUAAAUUUUAAAUUUUAAAUUAAUGCAUGCUUCAAAGUUUUAACUAGAUGUCACUUCCAUGGAUUUUUGUUCAUUUAAUUGAGAACAGGAUAGGCUAUCAAACUUGAAGUAAUAUAAAAAUCCCUUCAUUACUGUAACUAAUGAAAGAUCAUUAUCUGCGCUUGGUAUUUUGCCAAGGUAUUUGCUGCUCUUUCUAGCCCUAUCUUACAGUUAAGGACAAUGUGAUCUAGUUAACCUUAGAAGCUAUUCCAUGUCAUAUACAAGAGAUCAAGCACAUUAUCUUUGGGCUCAGUUCAAAACUAUAAUAUAUGGGUGGGGUGGGGGCCUAUACCAUUUGCAUAUCACCACUAUUGGUUUAGUUUGGAAGGUUUCUUCUGGAAGAUUGCUUUCUGGAAACAUUUCAAAGAAAUAUAUCUUUUUGUUCUCUUGGUGACGAGCAGCGGCAAUCAAGUCUGUUGACAAACAACCGAGUUGAAAAGUUUGAAAAUUGGUCACAGCCCACGUCCAUGGUUAAGGAAAAGGUCACUGGAAGUGAUCCCUUCUGGGCCUGUUGGAAGCAGGGGAGGUUAACACACCAAGCAACAAAGAACAGAGAUAUGCUGCUACUGAUCUAUAUUUUUUAUUUGAUCAUAAGGCUAAAUUUAUACAGAUUGUGUAACAGAUAUGACCUCAAAAAAAAGCAUCAAAUCAAGCUACUUGUUGAACAAACAACUACCUUCUACAAAAUAACAUCAAAAUUUAACUUAAAAGCAAAAACAUAAAAAUAGCAACAGCAAAAAUAGAAACAUAAAAAUAGCUUCAGCAUUCUAGUAAUCUCGUUGACUUCAAUUGCAUGUGGUUGACGAUUUCAGCCUUUUCCUCAGCAGCUACUAAGGCAUAACUCUCAACACUCCUCCUUGACUUAGGAGGUGCAAACUCCAAGUCUUUCUCAUAGAAACUCAAAUCUUAUUUUAGGAAGAGCUUUAGUCAGAAUAUCUACAUUUUGACUGUCUGUAUUGCAGUAGACUAGUUGUAUAUCUCCUUCUUUCUGUACUUCCCUCAAAAAUUACAAUUUAAUCUUGAAGUGCUUUGUUUUACCAUGAAAAACUGGAUCAUUUGCAAUAGAUAUAGUGGCCUGGUUGUCUACAAACACCUUUGUACUCACUUCUUGCUUCAUAUCCAAAUCUGUCAGCAACUUUCCAAGCCAUAAGGCUUGAUUUACAGCUGUAACAGCAGCAAUAUACUCUGCCUCAGCUGUGGAUUGAGCCACGACUUCUUGCUUCCUUGAACUCCAUGAAAAAACACCAGAACCAAAACUAAAACAAUAGCCUGAAGUACUUCUCAUAUCGUCAACACAACCAGCCCAAUCACUAUCAGAAAAUCCAUGAAAAUUGAAACUUUGAACUUGACUGAACUUAAUGCCAUAAUCCACAGUGCCUUUAACAUUUCUUAUCACACGCUUUGCUGCCUGGAAAUGAAUUUCACUAGCACAAUGCAUGUAUCUCGAAAGUAGACUUACAGCAUGCAUUAUAUCGAGUCUUGUUGCAGUCAAGUACAUUAAGCAUCCAAUCAUGCUUCGAUAAAGUCCUUCAUCUACCUUUUUAGCACCGUCCUCCUUACAGAACUUCUCUUUCUGGUUCAUAGGGGUAGAUGUAGGUUUGCAUUCCUCCAUUUUGAAUUUCUUCAUAAUUUCUUUGGCAUAUUUUUGUUGGCAGAUGAAAAUCUCAUUCUGCUUCUGGUGUACUUCCAUUCCCAAGAAGUAAGACAUCUCAUCUAGGUCUGUCAUCUCAAAAACCUGCUCCAUUUCAGCCUUGAAUUUGUUCACAAACCCUGCAUUACUUCCUGUUACAAGCAAAUCAUCAACAUAUAGAGAAACAAUUAAUAUAUCUUCUUCAAUCUUCUUAAUGUAGAGUGUAAAUUCACUCAAGCUCUUGUGAAAGCCUAAAGUUAGCAGGUGAGUGUCAAUCCUGCUGUACCAAGCUCUAGGGGCUUGUCUUAACCCAUACAAGGCCUUCUUAAGAAGGUAUACUUUUUCUUCUUUUCCUUUGAUAGCAAAACCUUCUGGUUGUUCGACAAAAAUCUCUUCCUCUAAGUAGCCAUUCAAAAAUGCUGACUUCACAUCUAGUUGAUAAAUCUUCCAUUUUCUUUGAGCUACAAGAGCCAACAACAUCCUGAUUGUAUCCAAACGAGCUACUGGUGCAAAGGUUUCCGAAAAGUCAACACCAAACAUUUGUGCAUACCCUUUGACAACCAGCCUUGCUUUAUGUUUGUUUAUAGAACCAUCAGAGUUGAGUUUGGUUCUGUAAACCCACUUAACCCCAAUAGGUUUUUUGUGUGAAGGUCUAUCUACUAGCUCCCAAGUGUUGUUCUUGUCAAUCAUAUCUAGCUCCUCCUGCAUUGCAACCCUCCAUCUUUUAUUUUCAGCAGCUUCAACAAACCCUGCAAGUUCAAGAACAGCUAUAUUACACCUUUGAUAAAUAUCAAAAAGUGUCAUGAAACCUCUAACUGGAAGUUCAUCAACAUCUUCAUCAAUAUAUUGCUGAUUCUGCUCAUCCCAACUCCAUUUCUCCGUUUCCAAAAACUUAACAUCUCUACUUACCACAAUUUUACUAUUUUGUGGCAAGUAGAUUCUGUAAGCUUUUGAGGUGCUGUUGUAUCCAAUGAAAAUUCCUGGUUCUGACUUUUUAUCUAGCUUGUCUCUUUUCACCUGAGGAACAUAAGAGAAACACAAGCAACCAAAGGUCUUUAAAUUCAUUAGCAUAGGCUUAUAAGCAAACCAGGCCUCAAAAGGUGUCUGUUUCUGCAAUGCUUUUGUUGGUAGUCUAUUUAGCAAAAAUACUACUGUAUUUGCAGCUUCAACCCAAAAACUUUUUGGCAGCUCUUUCUCAUGCAAAAGACAUCUUGUCAUUGAUUACUACUCAAAAAGUGCUAUUUGAUAGCCUUUAAUUAAUCCUUUUUAACACUUUUGAGUAGUAGUUUAGGCCUUUUAACUCAAUUGGCAUGUUAAGGAUCCUUUAAAGCAAUUUUGAUCACUUUGUGCAAGUUUUGGUGUUUUUGUUAGUAUUUCGAUCACCAAAGCAAGUCAAGAAUGAGGAGAGCUAUGAGGAAUCUUGGGCAAAGCUUAGAAUUCAAUUGCCAAGAGUGAAUCCGGAUUGCAAGGAGAAAAAGCAAAGAGGAUCAGUCAUGGAGCAUAUUCUUGAUGACAGUCGUAGCAGCCACUUUUGGAUCACUUUCUGAAGUCCAAAUGAUGCAAGCUAUAUACCAUUUCAAAGCUCAGGAAGUCAACAAUCCAAUGCUUCAAACGGUGUGCGAUUCGGAAUUGAAACGAAGAAGUUGCAGCCAUUACAAGCCAGACACUCUAAAGUGUUGCGGAAUCAGCCAUGUGUUGCGAGAAUUUCGCAGCACUUUUGUACAGUAAGGUGUUUCUCCUUCUAACGAUGCACGAACCAUGCCGCGAGAAGGGAGCUGGAAACUUCAAGAUGGAAGCCAACUUUGCAGCCUAGUGAAGAUAGCUCGGUCUUGCAAGAUAAUUUCGCAGCCCUCUUGGGUGUCUGCGAAAUUUCGCAGGCCUCAUUUUUCACCUGCGAAAUGGCUCUUGAAGCCUCCCGAAGCUUGCUACCGACAUUGGGAGAUAUUUUCCAUUAGAUUUUUGUUGUCUAAAUCCCAAAAUACUCCUUGUAAACCACCAAUUACAUGAUUCCUUAGUUUUUAAGUUAGUAAAAAGACCAAAUAUCUUUGUAACAAUUAGUUUUAUAUUUUGUUGUUAUAAAUACCUCUCGGGAGCCUGUUCUCAGGGAGGAGUUCCUUCUGUAAACGUUUGGUAAGCAAGUAAAGUCUAUUUUCUUUCUACUGCCUUACCUUCUCACUUUGUAUUUUCAUUUUAUUUCUAAGUUAUGAAUUCUCUGAGGAGUUUUCCCCAAAGAAUGAGUAACUAAACCUCCAAUUCCUUGGAGCUAAGGUUGCCGGGGAAGGUUCCAAGUGCAAGAAUGCAAAGCUCUGUGGUUUUAGCUAGUAAUGAAGAGGAAGUGAAAUCCUUUAGUGAUUUCAAUGUUUUUAGUUAACUUAAAACACUUUGGAGUCACCUGGGCCAACACUUGGUAAGGCAAGUGAUUUCCAACCAUGGAAAUGCACUAGUUUACCCCUUGCGAGCCUCUGGUAGGUGACUUCAAGGUAGGAUUUUCUGGAAUUACCAACACUUGGUAAGCUUUUGGACUCCUAGGAGACAUCCAUUAGUUAUCUCUUGCGAGUUUGUGAAGGGAAUCCAAGGUUAAAGAUCACCUUGAAUGGUAAGUGCUCGUGAGAGGCAUGAACCAUUGCAAGUUGUAUCAGUGAGAGAAUUAAAGUGAAAUCUAAUUGAAGGAGUCUUUGUACAUCACCGGUUAGAGAAUUGACUAUAAGUUGAAUCUCUAAUGCGAGGAAAUGAACCAACUGACCAGAGCCGUGUCUUUUGCAUGAGGAACCACCCCAGUGAACCUAAAUCUCCAAGGAAUGUUUUUUUCUUCCUAAAUUAUUCCAAACUUCUGUUAAGUUAGUUAGUUUAAAUCUCAACCUUUACAAAUCAAAGUUUGUGUUUUAUUCCUUAAGCUAACCGUGAAAUGAAACAAGACCAAUUCACUUGGAAUUGGUAUCAUUGAUUGCCUGCAAAUCAUUCCCAGUGAACGAUCCUAGAGCCACUAUACUAUAGUAGCUUUGUAUUUGCUACCCUAGUGUAUGGUGUUAUAGGUAUAAAUUUUGUUGAUCACUUCCUCAAUCAAGGAGCACCAGCUGAACACAAAUCAGCUGAGACACCAAUUAGGCAUGAGUCAAAUGGCGCCGUUGCCGGGGAAUGAAUGUCAAGUUCAUUGUGAUACCAUUGUUGAGCACUUGUGAUUUUCAUCACAAGUUGGUAAAGUUUCUUUCACUUUACUAAUUUUCAUUCUUUCUUUGUUUAUUUACAAUCUAAGUUUAUCUUUUUAAAUUUUAGUCUAGUUUAAUUUUGUUGUUGUAGCCCUGUUUUUCUUGUUGUCCUCUGUUUUCAUUUUUUUUUUCAGGUAGAUACUAGUUGUGUAUGCCCAAGUGGAUACGAGACAUAGGAGGUAGGCUUGUUAAGUGUGAUACACCUCAGAAAGGAGAAUUUGAAGUAAUCUUGAAUAUCAUGGAGGCUGCACCUGAAGAUCAGCAUAGUCACCAAGGUCGUCAAGACAAUCUCAAUGAAUUCAGAUCAAUGAGGGACCGUAUGCAUCCACCUCGUAUGAGUACACCAUCAUGUAUAGUGCCCCCUACAGAGCAGCUAGUGAUCAGACCAUAUCUUGUUCCACUUCUACCAACUUUCCAUGGGAUGGAAAGUGAGAAUCCGUAUGCACACAUCAAGGAAUUUGAAGAUGUUUGUAAUACAUUCCAAGAAGGAGGAGCUUCAAUUGACUUGAUGAGGCUUAAGUUAUUUCCUUUUACUUUAAAGGAUAAGGCCAAAAUUUGGCUUAAUUCUUUAAGGCCAAGGAGUAUCCGCUCUUGGACUGAUUUACAAGCUGAGUUCCUUAAGAAAUUUUUUCCUACUCAUAGAACAAAUGGCUUGAAAAGGCAAAUUUCAAACUUCUCAGCUAAAGAGAAUGAGAAAUUCUAUGAGUGUUGGGAAAGAUACAUGGAAGCUAUAAAUGCUUGUCCUCACCAUGGCUUUGAUACUUGGCUAUUGGUGAGCUAUUUUUAUGAUGGUAUGUCCUCCUCAAUGAAGCAACUCCUCGAGACAAUGUGUGGAGGAGAUUUCAUGAGCAAAAAUCCAGAGGAAGCUAUGGAUUUCUUGAGCUAUGUAGCUGAUGUUUCAAGGGGAUGGGAUGAACCAACUAAAGGAGAAGUGGGAAAGAUGAAGUCUCAGUUGAAUGCUUACAAUGCAAAGGCUGGGAUGUAUAAUUUGAAAGAAGAUGAUGACAUGAAAGCAAAGUUGGCAGCUAUGACAAGAAGAUUGGAGGAGCUGGAGCUGAAAAGAAUGCAUGAAGUGCAAGCUGUUGCUGAAGCACCAGUGCAAGUGAAGCUGUGUCCCAAUUGUCAAUCAUUUGAACAUUUGGUGGAGGAGUGCCCUGCAAUUUCAGUUGAAAGGGAAAUGUAUAGAGAUCAAGCAAAUGUUGUUGGACAAUUUAGGCCCAAUAACAAUGCUCCUUAUGGAAAUACCUACAAUUCAAGUUGGAGGAAUCAUCCAAAUUUCUCAUAGAAGGCCAGAGCAACUCAAUACCAACAGCCGGAUCCACCAUCUCAGCAAUCUUCAAGUAUUGAACAAAUAAUAGCCAAUCUCAGCAAGGUAGUGGGAGAUUUUGUGGGAAAGCAAGAAGCCACCAAUGCUCGAGUUGAUCAAAGAAUGGAUAGAAUGGAGAGUGUGUUGAACAAAAGAAUGGAUGGAAUGCAAAAUGAUAUGAACCAAAAGUUUGAUAACAUCCAAUAUUCAAUUUCAAGGCUUACAAAUUUGAAUACACUGCAAGAAAAAGGAAGAUUUCCUUCUCAACCUAACCAAAAUCCCAAAGGUGUCCAUGAAGUGGAAAGCCAUGAGGGAGAAUCAUCACAGGUGAAAGAUGUGAAAGCUUUGAUCACUCUAAGGAGUGGUAAGAAAAUUGAGCAGCCAACACCCAUGCCACAUGUUGAGAAAGAAGAAGGGAUAAAGAAAGGAAAGGAAAUAGAAGAUAAAGACAGUGAGAUCAGUGAAGAAAAGAAGGACUCUGAUUCAACAAUCAAAGCAAUUCCAGAGAAAGAGCUUCUGAAGGAAGAAAUGCUGAAGAAAUCAACUUUUCCACCUUUUCCUCAAGCAUUACAGGGGAAAAAGGGGGUUAGAAAUGCAGCUGAAAUCCUUGAAGUCUUAAGACAAGUAAAAGUUAAUAUUCCACUGCUGGAUAUGAUCAAACAAGUUCCAACGUAUGCAAAAUUCCUAAAGGACUUGUGUACUAUCAAAAGAGGGGUUGACUGUAAACAAGAAAGCCUUCUUGACUGAGCAAGUAAGUGCAAUCUUACAAUGCAAGUCUCCUUUGAAGUACAAAGACCCUGGAAGUCCUACCAUUUCAGUCAUGAUUGGAGGAAAGGUAGUGGAGAAAGCCUUGCUAGACUUGGGAGCAAGUGUGAAUUUGCUUCCAUACUCUGUCUACAAGCAACUGGGACUUGGAGAGUUGAAGCCAACAGCAAUCACUUUAUCUUUGGCAGAUAGAUCAGUGAAAAUUCCAAGAGGAGUAAUUGAGGAUGUAUUGGUUCAAGUGGAUAAUUUCUACUAUCCAGUAGAUUUUGUUGUUCUUGAUACUGAUCCAACUGUAAAGGAAGCUAAUUUAGUUCCUAUCAUCCUUGGAAGGCCAUUUCUUGCAACUUCAAAUGCAAUCAUCAACUGUAGAAAUGGGCUUAUGCAACUCACUUUUGGUAACAUGACACUGGAUCUCAAUAUUUUCUAUAUGUCUAAAAAGCAAAUCACUCCUGAGGAAGAAGAAGGUCCAGAAGAGCUAUGUAUUAUUGAUACUUUGGUGGAGGAGCACUGCAAUCAGCAUAUGCAAGAUAAGUUGAAUGAAAGUCUUGUGGAUAUUGAGGAAGGUUUUUCUGAAUCUCCUAUUGGGCUUGCUACUCUACAAAGUUGGAGAAAGAUAGAAGGAAUUCUACCUUUGUUCAAUGAAAAAGAGGAGGCAACUGUUGAAGAAGAAAUUCCAAAACUCAAUUUGAAGCCUUUACCUGUGGAGCUGAAAUAUACAUAUCUUGAAGCAAAUAAUCAAUGUCCUGUUGUGAUAUCCUCAUCUCUGACCAGUCAUCAAGAGAAUUGUUUAAUGGAAGUUCUCAUGAGGUGUAAGAAGGCAAUAGGAUGGCAAAUAUCUGACUUGAAAGGCAUUAGUCCUUUAGUUUGUACUCAUCAUAUAUAUAUGGAGGAGGAAGCAAAGCCAAUUCGUCAAUUUCAAAGAAGGUUGAAUCCUCAUCUACAAGAGGUGGUGCGAGCUGAGGUGCUGAAGCUACUUCAAGCAGGAAUCAUUUACCCUAUUUCUGAUAGCCCUUGGGUGAGUCCUACUCAAGUGGUACCAAAGAAGUCAGGGAUCACAGUGAUUCAAAAUGAAAAAGGGGAAGAAAUUACUACACGCCUCACUUCAGGUUGGAGGGUGUGUAUUGAUUAUAGAAAGCUGAAUGCUGUCACCAGGAAGGAUCAUUUUCCAUUGCCAUUUAUUGAUCAAGUGCUGGAGAGAGUCUCUGGACAUCCAUUUUAUUGUUUCUUGGAUGGGUAUUCAGGCUAUUUUCAAAUUGAAAUUGAUUUGGCAGAUCAGGAAAAGACCACUUUUACAUGUCCAUUUGGAACAUUUGCUUAUAGAAGAAUGCCUUUUGGUUUAUGCAAUGCACCUGCUACAUUUCAAAGAUGUAUGUUGAGUAUUUUCAGUGAUAUGGUGGAGAGAAUUAUGGAGGUUUUCAUGGAUGACAUCACCGUAUAUGGAGGUACAUUUGAGGAGUGCUUGGUUAAUUUGGAAGCAGUUCUUCAUAGAUGCAUUGAAAAAGAUUUGGUGCUGAACUGGGAGAAAUGCCAUUUUAUGGUACGUCAAGGAAUUGUCCUUGGCCAUAUCAUCUCUGAAAGAGGCAUUGAAGUUGAUAAAGCAAAGGUGGAGCUUAUUGCCAAAUUACCAUCUCCAACAACUGUGAAAGGAGUAAGACAGUUCCUUGGCCAUGCAGGGUUCUAUAGGAGGUUUAUAAAAGGUUUUUCAAGUCUUUCAAAACCUCUUUGUGAGCUGUUAGCUAAGGAUGCUAAGUUUAUAUGGGAUGAAAGGUGUCAGCAUAGCUUUGAUCAACUGAAGAAGUUUUUAACAACAACUCCAAUAGUGAGAGCCCCUAACUGGCAAUUACCUUUUGAACUGAUGUGUGAUGCCAGUGACUUUGCUAUAGGAGCUGUGCUUGGCCAAAGAGAAGAUGGGAAGCCCUAUGUGAUUUACUAUGCAAGUAAAACACUAAAUGAAGCUCAGAGGAACUACACAACUACAGAGAAAGAAUUGUUAGCUGUGGUAUUUGCUUUGGACAAAUUUCGAGCUUAUUUAGUGGGGUCUUUCAUCAUUGUCUUCACUGACCAUUCAGCCUUGAAGUAUUUAUUGACAAAGCAAGAUGCAAAAGCAAGGUUGAUUAGAUGGAUUCUAUUGUUACAAGAGUUCGAUCUUCAAAUCAAAGAUAAGAAAGGAGUGGAGAAUGUAGUAGCUGACCACUUGUCAAGGUUAGUUAUAGCACAUAAUUCCCAUCCCUUGCCUAUCAAUGAUGAUUUUCCUGAAGAAUCACUCAUGUUCCUAGUGAAAACUCCUUGGUAUGCUCAUAUUGCUAAUUAUUUAGUAACUGGGGAAAUUCCAAGUGAGUGGAAUGCACAGGACAGGAAGCACUUCUUUGCCAAAAUUCAUGCUUAUUAUUGGGAAGAGCCCUUUCUCUUUAAGUAUUGUGCAGAUCAGAUUAUUAGGAAGUGUGUCCCUGAAGAUGAGCAGCAAGGGAUUCUAUCUCAGUGUCAUGAGAAUGCAUGUGGAGGCCACUUUGCCUCUCAGAAAACAGCCAUGAAGGUAUUACAAUCAGGGUUUACUUGGCCAUCUCUUUUCAAAGAUGCCCACAUCAUGUGUAGAAAUUGUGAUAGAUGCCAAAGGCUUGGAAAGCUAACAAAAAGAAAUCAAAUGCCUAUGAACCCCAUUCUGAUAGUUGAGAUAUUUGAUGUUUAGGGCAUUGACUUCAUGGGACCUUUCCCAAUGUCUUUUGGUAAUUCUUACAUUUUGGUGGGGGUAAAUUAUGUUUCUAAAUGGGUUGAGGCAAUCCCCUGUAAGCAAAAUGAUCACAGGGUGGUUCUCAAGUUUCUUAAAGAGAACAUUUUCUCAAGAUUUGGGGUGCCCAAGGCCAUAAUCAGUGAUGGAGGAGCUCAUUUUUGCAACAAACCUUUUGAAGCUCUGUUAUCCAAGUAUGGAGUGAAGCAUAAGGUAGCCACACCUUAUCAUCCUCAGACAUCCGGGCAAGUUGAGCUAGCUAACAGGGAAAUAAAGAACAUUUUGAUGAAAGUGGUGAAUUCCAACAGAAAAGAUUGGUCUAUUAGGCUUCAUGAUUCAUUGUGGGCAUAUAGAACAGCUUAUAAAACUAUUCUUGGGAUGUCUCCCUAUCGUCUUGUCUAUGGCAAAGCAUGCCAUCUCCCUGUGGAAGUUGAAUACAAAGCUUGGUGGGCAAUAAAGAAGCUGAAUAUGGACUUGAUCAAGGCCGGAGAAAAGAGAUUUCUAGACCUUAAUGAGAUGGAGGAAUUAAGAAAUAAUGCUUAUAUCAAUUCCAAAGUUGCAAAACAGAGGAUGAAGAAGUGGCAUGAUCAACUCAUCUCCAACAAGGAAUUUCAGGAAGGGCAAAAAGUUUUGAUGUAUGACACAAGACUCCAUAUCUUUCCUGGGAAGCUCAAAUCAAGGUGGAUUGGUCCAUUUGUUAUUCACCGAGUAUAUUCCAAUGGAGUGGUGGACUUAUUGAAUUCCAAUGGCAAGGAUAGCUUUAAAGUCAAUGGAUAUCGUCUCAAGCCGUUCAUGGAGUCAUUCAAAUCAGAAAAGGAGGCAAUCAACCUCCUUGAACCUCAAAAAGCCUAAGUGAAAAGGGUUUGCUGGACGUGGCUUUACCACAGUCCAAAAUUUUUGUAAAUUUUGUAAAUUUUCAAGUUGUUUCUAUACUUUUGAUUUUAGUUUUUGAUCUUAAAUCAUGUUUUUAGGUGUGUUUUAAUCGUUUUAAAUGAUCCCAGGUGGAAGAAAUUUCAAGGGGAUUGAAAGAAAAAAAAUCGGGUCGAAAUUGGAGCCGAAACAGAGCAAAAACAGGGGAAAAACAGAGCUCUGCGAAAUUUCGCAGGGUGAAGGAAACCUCUGCGAAAUGAGCAUUUUGUUGCGAAACCAUUCCGCAGCACUGUAGAAGCCUCUGCGAGUGUAUUUCGCAGCUGCGAAAGUGAAUUUGGCACACGAGUGCCACUUCGCAGUACAGUAGCAUCCAUUUGGCAGCUGCGAAACUCAUUGCGAAAUGGAAAAGCGUGAUUUCGCACCAAAAGUCCCAUUCCGCAGGGUAUUUCGCAAUUGCGAAAGUGGUUUUGGCACACGAGUGCCACUCCGCAGCACAGUAACAUCAAUUUCGCAGCUGCGAAACUCACUGCGAAGUUGCUGCGAAAAUGGCAAGUUGCUGCGAAAUUGGCGUUUAGUUGCGAAACUUAAACUGACCCCUGAGCUUCCGUUUUUCCUAUUUAUACCGGUCAAAAGUGCUGCGAAAAGGGUUUCAAAAAUCAGAGCACCAUUCUCGCAGCCCCUUCAUCUUCUUCGCCAAGCCACGCCGUCCGAACCUCCGGUCGUCUUCUCCGUUUAGCAGCGCCGGCCAAAGAUCGAUAUUCCAAAAUGGCACGAACGCGAGGGGCAAAAUCUUCAUCCCCUUCGAAUCGCAAAAGGAGUCUGCGAAAGGAGCCAAGUCCAGGUUCUGCUCCAGAACCUGCUCCAAAGCCUUCGCCGUCGAGACCACAACCUUCUCCAGUGAAGCCGGCGCCACUAAAGCCGCCGGCAAGACGAUAUUUGACAAGGUCAGGCGGUUGGCCAUUGAAGAAGAAGCCCAGGGUUGAGAGCUCUGAACCAAUUGAUUUGACUGAGCAAUCCCCUGAGCAGUCCCCAAAUCCUUCACCAGUUCAAACUCCAGUGCCGUCACCGGUUCCCUCGCCAAUUCCCUCACCUGAAGCAACUCCAAUUCCAUCGUCGGUACCAUCUCCGGCACCCCAAGAAAAAGCUCAGGAGCCUCAAGCGCCAAUUCCAGAGCCCCAAAUUGCAGCUGAAGCACCUCUGGAAGAAGUGAUCCGAAGGCCAAUGCUGCCCCAGCCCCCAAUCGAAGGAAACUUGGAUUGUCGAACACGGGCAUUCCAUUCUGAGCUUUGCUUCGAUUUAACAGCAUUCAGAGUGAGGCCAGAGCUUGCCCAAUCCUUCCAGCUGCUGAGGAGAUAUCAUAUGGAGCAUCUGCUAGCUCCAAGGGAUUUUUUCUAUCCCCGGGUAGUCACGGACUUCUACCAGACCAUGACAACCAAAGAAGUAAGAAAUCCAACUCUGAUCCAUUUCAUAAUUGAUGGAAGGCAUGGUAUUUUGGGAGCAAGACACAUUGCUGAAGCUCUGCAAAUUCCUUUUGAGCCAACCCAAUUCGACAAUUUUAAAGCUUGGGUAAAUCCUACUGAGUUAGAGAUGGUUCGCACACUAACCAGAGGAGCUGCAAAUCGAUCACACCUGUUGAGGGGGGAGCUACCUCCAGUGAUGUUUUUGAUUGAUGCCUUUUUGAGGCAUAAUAUCUAUCCCCUGCAGCAUUGGACCCAAAGAAGGGGAAUUCUCCUGGAAGCUUUGUACAAGAUGUCAGAAGGAUUCUUCUUUGGGCCCCAUCAUCUUAUCAUGGCAGCCCUUCUAUACUUUGAGGAAAAGGUUCACAAGAAGAAACUUCAAAGAGCAGAUUGCAUUCCACUCCUCUUCCCAAGGCUGCUAUGCCAAGUUUUGGAGCAUCUCGGAUACCCCUCUGAGCCUCAGCAGGAAAGAAAGAGAAUAUGCCGUGAGCCAUUUACUCUUGAUAAAUGGAAUAAUAUGACGGCCUACAAAAUUGAUCAGCCUGGGCAGCCUCAGCCAGCAGCAAGGAGAGCCUCCCCAAGACAUGCACCUGAAGGUAUAACACUUGCUACUCCUGCCAUCCCUCGAGCUUCACCAGCUGCACCUGCUGCAUCACAGCCAUCCACAUCAGCUGAGCCGAGGAUGGCCAUCCCUAUAUCCGAAUAUCGAGAGCUGUGCCGAGCAUUGGAGACUCUUACAGCUUCCCAGAGCAAUCUUGCUCAAGAGUUGGCAGCCAUCAAAGCAUGCCAGGAGCAGAUGUUAGCCUCUCAGGCUCAACAAGCUGCCAUCCUAAGGCAGCUUCAAGUCCAUUUCGAUCUGCCACAAGCUGUAGAGCCCUCCACUGAGACUCCACCAGAGCCACACUCUCAGCCUUCAGAGUCUCUUCCUCCAGAGCCAGAAGCCCCAACUGAUCCACCUACAGAGGAGGCGGAUCCUUCUGCUUAGCACCAUCACCCCACUCAUCAGACAUUAUAUAUAUUUGCUGUUUAUGUUUUUAUGCAUGUUUGUUUUGUUUUAGUUGAAAUGAAAUCCCAGUAUUUUGGUACUAUAUAUGGGAUUCCUUGUGAUUACUUGUCCUUAGCAUUGUACUCGAAUGAAUUGAAAGUAAUACAAGUUGAAUUUUUCUUGUUAAAAGUUAGCAUUAAAAUUCUCCUUAUUUCCUUUUCUCACAUAUUCUAUUCUUUUUGAAACAUGUGGUUUUCCCCAAUCAAUAUUCGAAUUUGAUAUCAGCAUGGAGGUACCACUUCCUCCCUUUUAUUACAGUCACUCAAAUCACAUUGAGGACAAUGCUCAGUUCGGUUGGGGGGUAUGAGGAAGGAAGUAUUCUAAAUCUUUUUGGUAUUGCAAUUAUAUUGGUUAAUUAGUUGUAGAUUUUACGUUUUACUCUUGUUACUCUAUUCUCCAUGAAUUUUGAGGAAAAAUUUUCAAAUUAAACCAAGAGAAAUUGAACUGUUGUUUUUCACUUGACUUAGAGUAUGGAUUAUGCUUACUAAAGUGGUUCAAUUGUUGAAACUUCUACUGAAAUUGAAUUGAGUUCUUCCAUUUUAAGCUAUCCACACACUGUGCACAUUAGUUUCUGAUUAUAAGAUGAAAAGCUAUUUCCCUCUUGACUUAGGAUAAUUUUGGGACUUGGUAUAUUUGACCUCAUUUGAUAAAAAUUGAAACACCCUGCAAAAGGCCAAUGAGCCUUUGAAAUAAAGAAAGAUGUUUGCUUGCCUUGAAACCCGAGCAAGGUCUGAGGGGCAUAUGGUGAAAGCCUUUAAAGCCUGGUGCCCUAAGCCUUAAUUGGUUGGGAGUCACCGACCUCAAUGCUCGUUACAAGGGUGAAUAGGUAGAGCUAGCAUAUGGUAGAUGCUUGGGUAUUAGAAAUUCAUUCUUAAAAGUCCAGGGAAAAAUCCGAGGAGUUAGUGGUUGAAAGAUCCUUAAAACUUGGUGCCCUAAACCUUAAUUGGUUGGGAGUCAUCGAUGGACCCCCAUUACAUGGACAAGUCAGAAAGAGUACCCCAUAAAGCUACUUUAAAAAAAAAAAAAAAAAAAAAAAAAAGAUGAUGAAAGUGUGUUCUUUUCUUAUUGAUUUUGGUCAGAUUGCUAAAGUGUUGAAAAGAGAUAGGUUGGGGGGGGAGACUAGUUUAGCAUAUUAUUCUCGGAAUCUAAGGAACCAAUACACAUAGAUUUUUGUGGAAGAUUGAAGUUUAGUUCUUAGAAAGUGAAAUGAUUUUAAAACUUCAGUUUGCAUAAUGCACUCCCUUGAUUGACAGUGUUUAGCAUAGGUGUUAUGACUCUUGUUGAGAUUUGGGUUUGUAUUUCUUUAAUGAUUCAUGUGAGAAGUAAAUCAUCAUGCCACUUAAGAAUUAUUUUCCUUUCAGCAUGAUGUUGUAAAUUUUAGAUUAGUUUGCUAUUUAUUUUUAUUUUUCUCUCCUUUAUUGCUAAGGGACUAGCAAUAUGUCGGUUGGGGGGAGUGAUUACUACUCAAAAAGUGCUAUUUGAUAGCCUUUAAUUAAUCCUUUUUAACACUUUUGAGUAGUAGUUUAGGCCUUUUAACUCAAUUGGCAUGUUAAGGAUCCUUUAAAGCAAUUUUGAUCACUUUGUGCAAGUUUUGGUGUUUUUGUUAGUAUUUCGAUCACCAAAGCAAGUCAAGAAUGAGGAGAGCUAUGAGGAAUCUUGGGCAAAGCUUAGAAUUCAAUUGCCAAGAGUGAAUCCGGAUUGCAAGGAGAAAAAGCAAAGAGGAUCAGUCAUGGAGCAUAUUCUUGAUGACAGUCGUAGCAGCCACUUUUGGAGCACUUUCUGAAGUCCAAAUGAUGCAAGCUAUAUACCAUUUCAAAGCUCAGGAAGUCAACAAUCCAAUGCUUCAAACGGUGUGCGAUUCGGAAUUGAAACGAAGAAGUUGCAGCCAUUACAAGCCAGACACUCUAAAGUGUUGCGGAAUCAGCCAUGUGUUGCGAGAAUUUCGCAGCACUUUUGUACAGUAAGGUGUUUCUCCUUCUAACGAUGCACGAACCAUGCCGCGAGAAGGGAGCUGGAAACUUCAAGAUGGAAGCCAACUUGGCAGCCUAGUGAAGAUAGCUCGGUCUUGCAAGAUAAUUUCGCAGCCCUCUUGGGUGUCUGCGAAAUUUCGCAGGCCUCAUUUUUCACCUGCGAAAUGGCUCCUGAAGCCUCCCGAAGCUUGCUACCGACAUUGGGAGAUAUUUUCCAUUAGAUUUUUGUUGUCUAAAUCCCAAAAUACUCCUUGUAAACCACCAAUUACAUGAUUCCUUAGUUUUUAAGUUAGUAAAAAGACCAAAUAUCUUUGUAACAAUUAGUUUUAUAUUUUGUUGUUAUAAAUACCUCUCGGGAGCCUGUUCUCAGGGAGGAGUUCCUUCUGUAAACGUUUGGUAAGCAAGUAAAGUCUAUUUUCUUUCUACUGCCUUACCUUCUCACUUUGUAUUUUCAUUUUAUUUCUAAGUUAUGAAUUCUCUGAGGAGUUUUCCCCAAAGAAUGAGUAACUAAACCUCCAAUUCCUUGGAGCUAAGGUUGCCGGGGAAGGUUCCAAGUGCAAGAAUGCAAAGCUCUGUGGUUUUAGCUAGUAAUGAAGAGGAAGUGAAAUCCUUUAGUGAUUUCAAUGUUUUUAGUUAACUUAAAACACUUUGGAGUCACCUGGGCCAACACUUGGUAAGGCAAGUGAUUUCCAACCAUGGAAAUGCACUAGUUUACCCCUUGCGAGCCUCUGGUAGGUGACUUCAAGGUAGGAUUUUCUGGAAUUACCAACACUUGGUAAGCUUUUGGACUCCUAGGAGACAUCCAUUAGUUAUCUCUUGCGAGUUUGUGAAGGGAAUCCAAGGUUAAAGAUCACCUUGAAUGGUAAGUGCUCGUGAGAGGCAUGAACCAUUGCAAGUUGUAUCAGUGAGAGAAUUAAAGUGAAAUCUAAUUGAAGGAGUCUUUGUACAUCACCGGUUAGAGAAUUGACUAUAAGUUGAAUCUCUAAUGCGAGGAAAUGAACCAACUGACCAGAGCCGUGUCUUUUGCAUGAGGAACCACCCCAGUGAACCUAAAUCUCCAAGGAAUGUUUUUUUCUUCCUAAAUUAUUCCAAACUUCUGUUAAGUUAGUUAGUUUAAAUCUCAACCUUUACAAAUCAAAGUUUGUGUUUUAUUCCUUAAGCUAACCGUGAAAUGAAACAAGACCAAUUCACUUGGAAUUGGUAUCAUUGAUUGCCUGCAAAUCAUUCCCAAUGAACGAUCCUAGAGCCACUAUACUAUAGUAGCUUUGUAUUUACUACCCUAGUGUAUGGUGUUAUAGGUAUAAAUUUUGUUGAUCACUUCCUCAAUCAAGGAGCACCAGCUGAACACAAAUCAGCUGAGACACCAAUUAGGCAUGAGUCAGUCAUCUCCAUUAUUGUUUUAUUUUUUCUUUCCACCACCCCAUUUUGUUGUGGGGUGUAUGGUGCAAUGAGCUGGUGAUCUAUGCCUGCAUCUUCACAAAAUUUGUUGAAUUUUUCUGAAGUAUAUUCUGUACCAUUAUUCGACCUUAUAACCUUGAUUCUGUAUUCACUUUGAUUUUCAACCAUGGCCUUAUAUCUCAAAAACACAUCAGCAACCUCAGCUUUGUAAGUGAGAAAAUAAAUCCAACAAAAUCUUGUGAAGUCAUCAAUAAAUGCAAUAUAGUACUUACUCCCUUUCAAAGAUGGUGUCUUUUGAGGUCCACUCACAUCUGUGUGAACCAAUUGUAGUUUCUGUGUUGAUUUCCAUGCUGCUUUUUGAGGAAAAGGAAGUCUUGUUUGCUUCCCAUAUUGAUAGGCUGCACAUAUAGGAAGUUCUUCUUCCAAAUCAGGGAGUCCUUCUACAAUCUAAUUCUUCUUCAUGUAGAGCACGGUAUUGUGGUGGAAAUGCCCUAAUCUUUUAUGCCAAAGCAUUGUAUUGUUCUCGUGUUGUGCAGCAGUAAUUUGCUCAUCUUCUAACAUAUUUAAGGCAAAACUUUUGCCUUUCAUUUUUAUGUUGAACACCUCUUUGCCUUCAGCAUCCUUGAUUAUGCAAUUUUUGUCUUCAAAACAAACUUUAAACCCUUUCUCAACAAGCUGUCCAACACUUAGCAAAUUUUGGUCAAUGUCAGGCACAAACAAAACAUCAGAAAUGAGCUUUAAACCUGUUAGGCUUUCAAUAGCUAAUGUUCUUUUACCUUUUACUGGAAUAUACUCACCAUUUCCUAUUCUAACUUUGGAAAUAGUUGUCCUAUCAAUCUCCCUAAAGCGAUCUUGAUCAUGUCAUGUGGUUUGUGCAACCACUGUCCACGAGCCAGCUUUCAGAGGUGCUACCGUUUGCAAAACAUGUUGCUGAAAAUAGUUGUUCCUCCUGGUAUUGUUCAGCUGCUACAUUGGUUUCUCCCUGCUGCUGCUGAGUUCUACAGAUCCUUUCUAUGUGUCCAUGUCUACCACAUUUGUUGCAUUUCACAUCUGGUCUCCACCAACAUUUUUGUUGAGGAUGAUUUGUUUUCUUGCAAUGAGGACAGGGUGGAUAGGUUCCAGUUUUUUUAUUGUUGUUGUUGCUUGGCUUAUUGUUGUUCUUUUUGUUCUUCCUCCUUCUUGUGUUACCUUCAUUGGUCUGUGUCUUUGCUUGAAAAGCUCCUUCUACAGAACUUCCUUGCCUCAUGAGUCUUCUUUGUUCCAAAGCUUGUAAAGCAUUUAGUAGUUCUGCCAAGGUGAUACUUGACAAAUCUUUUGUGUUUUCCAAAGAAGAAAUUGUAGCUUCAUAUUUUUCAGGAAUUGUGACAAAAUUGUUUUGAACAACUCUUUCAUCAGAAAACUCUUUACCUAGCAACCUCACCUUGUUUGCUAUGGUAAGAAGUUGUUCUGCAUAAUCUUUUAUGGUUUGAGACUCUUUCAUCCUCACCAUUUCAAAUUCUCGAAUUAGAUUCAUUACCUGCACAUUUCUGACUCUUUCAUUGCCUUGAUAUUCUUCCCGUAGAUGCUUCCAGAUUUCUGCAACAGAUUCAAGUUGCAUGAUUCUGGUGAGAAUUAAUGGUGAGACUACAGAAAAUAAGCAAGCCUUGGCCUUAGCCUUCCUCGUCUUUUUCUCCUUAUGGUUUUUCAUCUGUGACACAGUUGGAUUGGCUCCAAGUGGAGAAAUUUCAUAAUCUUCCUCUAUUGCUUCCCAGACAUCAAGAGCCUGUAGAUGAACAGUCAUCCUGACAGCCUAAGUUUGGUAAUUUUCUCCAUUGAAGACUAGUGGUGCUGCUGUGAAGCUUGCUUCUUCCAUUUCUGCAAGGUUUUCAGAUUCAGGUUUGGUAUACGGUGUUUAGGCUCACACACCUCACUGGUCCCUCAAGACAAAAAUUGCUCUGAUACCAAACUGUUGGAAGCAGGCGAGGUUAACACACCAAGCAACAGAGAACAGAGAUAUGCUGCUACUGAUCUAUAUUUUUUAUUUGAUCAUAAGGCUGAAUUUAUACAGAUUGUGUAACAUAUAUGACCUCAAAAAAAGCAUCAAAUCAAGCUACUUGUUGAACAAAAAACUACCUCCUACAAAAUAGCAUCAGAAUUUAACUUAAAAGCAAAAACAUAAUAAUAGCAACAGCAAAAACAGAAACAUAAAAAUAGCUUCAACAUUCUAGUAAUCUCAUUGACUUCAAUUGCAUGUGGUUGACGAUUUCAGCCUUUUCCUCAGCAGCUACUAAGGCAUAACUCUCAACAGGGCCUCUUAAUUUCCAUUCUGGCAUCUAUAUGACCUGAUAAAUAGAAAGAAAAAAAAACAGAAGAAAAGCGGCACCUGGGUUCAUAGUAAGCAUCAAGACAGGAUGCUGAAAGAAGGGAGAGAGGAGAUUGCAAGUCCAAUCCUGAUAAAAUAUCAACAAAGAGUAUUAAAUGGGGCCAACAUAAAGACCCAUUAAGGUCAGCAGAUGGCAUGGCAUUUUUCUCCUUAAGUUUUCCAUGAUUAGGCUUGAAGUCAAAAUUUCACAUGUAAAUUUGUAUUUCUACAUUUCCCACUGACGACACCCAACUUCAACUUGAGUUAGAAUAACAUUGUGUGAACUUAUCUGGCCCUCAAAAUUUACUGUGAAGUGCUUUCUGCGUGUGAAGAUUCAGAAAAGCACCAAGGGAACAUGUAUGGUCUGCCUUUUUCUGAUGUUAUGUUUGUCUCUAAUUCUGUUCCAUGUCAUGGUAAAUGUUCACAUUGCUUGUAUGGAACACACCAGGAUCACUUUUUCAGGUUUAGGGGGAUACAAAAGGCUUCAUAUUGGGUUCAAUGCUUUUAAUGUGUUCAUUGGACAAAUCUGAAUUAUCAUACGCAUUUAGAUAAGAACAAUAAUGUGAAACCCUAGUUACACCUCCCCUGCAUAACCCCAACCCUGCUUGCUCUAUUUCAGUUUACUCACAAGUUUUACUGGUUCUUAUAAGUCAAGAAAAGGCAACUGAUGUUGGAUCGACUCUCUUCCAUGUAAAAAAUGCAACUUUUAUACAUAUAAAAGAACUUCUUCCCCUCACCAAUGUGGGAUUUCAUAGAUUUAUUCUGGAAACACAUCAAAGGAACAUCUUUUCUCUUGGGUGACCCUAAGUGGUGAGUCAGAUCAUUUGCAUGCCAUUGAGUUGCACAGUUGGAUAAAUGCACCUGCCUCCUGGGCUCCAGAGUUAAAAGGGUGGAUCCCUGGAUUGCAACCCUCUUGGCAUCUUGGUUUCUAUUCCAACAUCCACAUGACUUGACAAAACAAAAAACAGAAUAAAAUCAGCACUAUAUUCAUGCUAAGCACCAAUACAUGAUGGAAAUCAUUGCUUAAAGAUUUGGGGUCGUUUUAGGUUUUGACUGCCUCCUACCACCUCACCUAAUGACAAGUUUUUAUGCUUACAAAUCAAAUAUCGUUCUUCAUUAUAUUAAAAUCAUUUUAAGAUUUCAGAUCCAUCUGCUAAUUAUGAUUAUGAUAACAUUUAUUCACCUGUGCUUCUCAUUUUCGACACACAAGGCAUCUAGGUUUGCAGGAUUUCCUUAUUAGAUGAGAUAAAUGAGUACGUAUGGUUAUGUAUCCAGCAUUCAUUAACCAUGGUAUGUGACAUUUAGAAUUAAGAUAGCAAGCAAACUUUCCCUGCAGCUAGAGUAAAUUGUGAUUUCUUAGCCUCUAUGAGUGGUUCCCAAAUCAAAUUAACAUAGUGAAAUAUACGUAGUCCAGUGAAAGGAAAUGUAAAUUAUAAACUAACAGCACUACACUACUGGUAACAAUCGAUACUCUCUAUAUAAUGCAAUAAACAAUGUCACAAUUGCCUACAAGCAAGGCACAAACACUAGAACAAGUAAAGCACAAACCUUUCCCAACAGUUCCCAGUGACUGAUGCAUAUCAUACCCUCAACUCACAGAAGGGGAUGAUAUCAGUGCACUGCAGCACUUAUUUUACACAUACUACCACUACUACUACUACUACUACUACUCAUUAGCCAAAGUCACUCAGUUGGGAUGAGUGUGAGGUAGAGGUUUGUGGGGUGCUAUGUGGAAAGGAGUUUGGCUUCUUCUCAGGAGAUGGUAGCUUCUUUGCAGGAGUUGAAGGAGGCUUAAUCUUCUGUGGUGGAUUGAUUGUAUGAGUCUUUGGCACUCUCUUCUCUAGUACAGGUGAAUACCCAGGGGUGCAUCCAUAAUGCGGUGGCUUCUAUCCCUUAGGUGGUUUGCCAAAUUCAAAAUCGAAGGAUUUUUUUUUUUUAAGUAUACGUAUCUUUGAAAGCUUUUAUUUUGUAUGGCAAAUGGAAUGAGAGGAGCAGUCAUAUUCUAUUUGGCCAGAGCAACAUAUCACAAAUGAACAAGCUAUUUACUGCCACACUGGGCAAAACAUACAUAAUCCUUGUACUUCAAACAUCCAUGAAUUCUCAUCAUUUUCAGGACACGUUGCAUGGUCUAUCAUUCUAUAUGUCGGCAUAGUAAGUGCAGCUAAUAAGCCUAUUCAGAGCUGAAAUUCAAAAUCUAUUCACAGGAUAAUGACCUUAUUAUUGGAUUUUGCUCACUGUCAUACACACAUAUCAGAUAAAGCCCCACAUGCUCAUAAGCUACAAGCAACCUACAAGCACUAAAAUGAGUGUUAGACGUAUGAAACAUUCCCCAAUACUAGUAGUAUUACCUGUUCCAUAGAACACUAAAUUAGAAGAGAGAAGAUGUGAGACUCCAGCUUUUCUUUCUACAUAUUACUCAUAUCAAGUUGGAAUAGUUAGGCGGUAGAGGCUUGGGGUGGCUUGUGUAGGGGACUAGGCAGCUUCUCUCAGGAGUUGAUUUCGUCUUAUUCUGGAUGUCCAGGUUUCGUCCUUUCGAAUUUCCCAUGCAAAUCAGCAUUCUCCUUGGGAAACUUCACUCCGUUGGGAAACUUGUGUGAAUCUUUGGCAUUCUCUACCAGAGAAGGCCCAGGGCAGUGACCAUAAGGUGGUGGCCUUUUUUCAGGUGGUGGCUCCUCUCCCACUGGAGGCUUGUGGUAAUCAGCAAGAGAGGCAGUGGAGAGAAUCAUCACCCCAAGGAACAGCACUAGCAAGUAUUUGUGAGCCAUAUUUGGGAUCUGAUGAUGAAGACUAGAAGAUAGGAGUUGCCUCAUAUAAUGGGUUGGAGACUAUAUCUCAAGGGGACGUGUAUUUAUGCAUAUGAUCUAUAUAGGACCAUCCUCCUAAUAUUUUCAAAAUAAUGUUAUUGUCUCUCUUGGGUGACAGUUUGAUUUGGUCUAUUUCCAUGCCACUGAGUAGAAAAGUUUGACAAUUGGCUACACCACCUACCUGGAUUACAUGGUUGAAAGUGAAGAUCAGUACAGUGUGAUCACACUUGACCUCUUGUUCCCCAUUCCAGUAUCUAAUUAACCUGACAAAAGUAAAAGGAAAGGAAAAAGGGAAAAAAUAGAAUAAUGUUCAAAUAAAAACGAGAAAAAAUAGCAUAAUGUUGAUGAAUCAUGAUAAGCAUCAAGGCAUGAUAGUGAGAGAGAGGAAAGAAGACAGUGUAAUUUGCAAUCCUGAUAAUCAUUAUAUAGCAGUAACUUUAAUCAUUUUUCUAUCACAGGGAACAUGACACUCAUCUUCCUAUGGAGAUAUUGCAUAAGUUUUUUUCUUUGUAUGUCAACACUAACCAAUGAAGCAUGUUAGCUGGUUUGAAACUGAAACUGUAGCCCUCUGUUUGGUUCUUGAAAAACUUGAGAGAAAAUGGAAGUAAAGUUAAAAGGAAAGAAAAAGUGAAAAAAAAUAAAAAUAGAUUGAAAGUUAACAAAUUAUUUUUACAUGUUCCCUCAAAUUUCUUUCACUUAUUUUUCCUUUUCUAUAUAAAGAUUAAAUGAUUUAAAAAUCAUAAAUUUCUAACUAAUUAUAACUAUAUUUGAUUUUCUUUCAUAUUUUCCAAGAUAAAGUCAGACAUGAGAAAAUCAUUUUCCUUAAAAAAGAAAUUCUUUCCUUUACAGUUUCUUAGAACCAAACCUGGCACAAAAGUCCAAAUUGGGGUUUCUCCAUGUUCCAUUUUUUAUGGCUACCUUUAUGGACCAUAUAAUAUAGAAUGUACUUCUGCAUACCUUCAAGAUCAAGCUGAACUAUAAGAAAAAGACAAGCCAUGGCCCACGGAGCAGGGAUACCAAGCUGCCUUCUCCUAGAUUAAGUUCCAAGAUUUCAGUCUUCAAACCUGCUAAAAGCUAAAGGCAUGUUUCCAGCCUGCGGCAGAUAACAUGCACUGUCCAACAAUAAAUUGCAAACACAUUCGAUGCAGUUUAUUAGUACAAUAAGAUUAAAUCCACCAAAUCUUUUACAGUUCAACCAACACUUGAACUAGUAGCUAGCUUCACUACUGGGUAAUAAUAUAUAAACCAAACUCUUGAUAGGAACCAACCUAUCGCAGAUCGAACUUCUUACAUCCACCAUGAAUUACUGAACCAAAAGAAGAAUCGAAGAGACUGCCAAGGAGGAAAGCCUUCCUAUAACUAGAUAUUUAUAUUCCAAAUUAGGGAGAGCACCCACUGCCCAGGCCUCGCCCAGCAUAAACAGAUAGUAUACAUAUACAUGCAAAAAGCUCCAACCUUCAAGAUUUUAACUAUUAACUUAACACAAUUAAAAAUGUAUCCAAAAAGCAAAUCCCCUUGAACUCCUGAAGCAAUUACUCCAACCAAAUAAAGAUUUUAAGAGUUCCAUGUUCAUAUCCUGCAAGGAAAUCAUUCAAUGUUCAGACCUCUAAUUUCUGUCUUUCUAAAUGCCCAGCCAAAAGGCAUAAAGUAUCAUCCAAAUUGGAUGCACAGCAUAUGUUCUUAAAUCAUGGGAUUUCACCAUAAGUUACUACACUCUAACAGGGCCCAGAAAUUGACCUCCAGAUAUGCCUAUCAAAAAAUUAUCCCCACAUACAUUUUUCUGCUGAAAAGACAAUAUUGUUACAUUUGACAUUCAACCACUACUUGAACUCAACAACCAGGGAAAAGAAUAUAGUAUUUCUACCAAUGAGGAUGAGAGGGGCUGGUGAAUUAACAGGUAAAAGUUUGUUUUGGGUUCAUUGUUUGCAUAAUAAUGUAAAAAUGGAGUAGUAUAUUAUAAAUUAAUGUAAAAAUGGAUUAGCAUAACAUAAAUUGCCAUAAGAGAACCACAAACUACAAAGAAACUUAUUUUCCAAACAAGGAAAAUUAUUCAUAGCCAUUAUUACAUAAGAAAGGAAAUUGAUAAAAUUAUUAUCCAGUUCCCCAUCAGGAAAUAUGAAAGUACUCCUAAAAGCCUCAAUUCUAACCAGAAAACCAUAGAAAUGUAUUAGAAAUAUUGUACAGGGUUCUCUCCAAUAUUAGCUUCAGUUGCUAAGGAGAUCAGAACCUUGAAAGUAAGUCACAAAGGUCGUGUGGGUUUCCCAGAGUCUUCAACAACCAGUAUUCACAUAUGUACACAUUAAAAUUAAAUAAAGCAGGUAUCAAUUCCACAGGCUUUAAGAUUUGAAUUGCUUCUCCCUGGAAUCAUACACCACUCAUAUUGUCACUGACUUUCAAUUACUUCUCCCUGCGAUCAUAUGCCACUCAUAUUGUCACUGCCUUAGGGAACAAAGUGAAAAUCUGCAAUUUCAAUUAAUUCCAACAUAAAAAUAAAAAUCAAUCCUCAAAAAAUGGAUUGCCAGGAGGUAAAUAUAAUAGAAGACGAACAACUCUCACAACCAAGUUAAAGAAACCAGCCGCUAGGUACCUUUGAGUUCUAUACUACCAGGAACAAAUUGGAUGAGAUUAUUUAAAGGCUAUUCCACAGUGGAAAUUCAUUCGUUCAAAAAACAUUUGUCAUGCAUAUAGGCAAUCUAUCCUAUGCAUUCAUACAUCAUGGUCUCAUGCAAUCUUAAUAAAAGUGGUCCUGGAAAAAGAGAGAAAAAAGUAAUUACAAGCCUGUGCGACCAGAUUUCUUUUGUUUUUUUUUUUUUUUUCCUUUGCCAAACAACCAUGUUCAUAGUUUCAGAAGUUCAUUCUGUCUUUAAGAGACCAUGGCAGUGACUUGGCCAUUCAGCUAAGANNNNNNNNNNNNNNNNNNNNNNNNNNNNNNNNNNNNNNNNNNNNNNNNNNNNNNNNNNNNNNNNNNNNNNNNNNNNNNNNNNNNNNNNNNNNNNNNNNNNUCACCAAGGACUCCUCAACCUCAAAAUAAUAGAGAAAGUCUAGGACACCAUGUCACUACUGAGGACAACCCAACACCACAACAUUUCAGUCCGUUCAAAAAGAGUAAUUGGAAUUGUUGCAAAAAAUGUUCAACUAGUCCCAACAGGAGGCAAAUUCCUCCAUUUCUUCAUCGGGUCCGGAUCCUUUGCUCAAAAAGGUAAUUUUCUUACUGCCCUAAAAGAAAAAGGGAAAAUGUGAGUCAUUGGAUUGUUGACUCAGGAGCUUUUGAUCACAUGACUAGAGUGCCACAAUUUUUCAAAAUUAUACACCUUGUUUUGGGGAUGAUACAAUUCGUAUGGCUGAUGGUUCUCUCUCAAAGGUGACUGGUACAAGUUUUAUUGUCAUCUCUAAGGACCUAACUCUUGACUCUAUUCUUUUGGUUCCAAACUUGGAUUGCAAUCUAUUGUCCAUUAGUAAACUCACUUAUGAAAAGAACUAUGUUACUAAAUUUUUCCCAAACCAUUGUGUUUUUUAGAAUUUGAAUUCGGGGAAGACGAUUGGCAAUGUUGAAGUGUGUUUAGGACUCUAUGCCUUCAAAGUGAAUUAUUAUAUUGAAAGACAAUCUUAACCAACAGUUGGUGAAAAAUGGUGUCUUUUUGUCUUUAGUUCUAAUAAAGAUAGUGAUGUUAUGUUAUAGCACUAUUGUCUAGGACAUCCUAGUUUCUUAUAUCUCAAAAAACUCUUUCCAUGGUUUUCAGUGUGAAAUUUGUCAACUAUCCAAGCAUCUUUGCAAGCCCUAUCCAUAGUUUUAAAAGACUUAAGGCACACCAAGACGCAAAGUCCUCUUGGAGCCUUAGGCGCAAGGCACACCUAAGGCGCGAACUUUAGUAAAGUGAGGUGCAUCCUGUUUUACAUAUAUAUUUUUAUAUAAUACAAUCAAGUGCCCGAAAAUUUUCCUCUAAUUUUCCCCUUCUUCUUCAUCCUCUUCUCUUCUUCACAUUGUUCGGGAGGCUAGGACAUUUUUUUUUUUUUACAUGUCUAAAACAAGCAUAUAUUGGGUUUUGGAAGAAGAACAAGCCAAAAUGACAUCGUUUUGGAGCCUAAUCUUUUAAAUAAAUAAAUAAAUAAAUAAAAACCAGCCAAAAAUGACACCGUUUUGGCCCCUGUUCUUUUAAAAGAACAAACCAAACAACGUCAUUUUGAUCUCAGGAAAUUAAAAAAACAAAACCCUCGUCAUUCUCCCUUUGCUACUCUACAACUCAUCGUCAAAGGGUAAAAAGAUGACCAAAAGAAGAAGAAGAAAAAAAAAAAACGACGACAGAGGAUAGAGGUGCACCUGUUGAGGGCGUUGCGCCUAGCCAAGAGGCGAGCGCCUUGCACACUUAAUCAACGCCUCUGUGAAGGGGCGGCUCCUGCAAUCAGGCGAAGCGCUGAAGGGUGAUGUCACAUCGUCUAGAGCCUAGGCGCACCUUUCACAACUAUGACCCUAUCCAACUCAACCAUACAAACCAUCUCAUCUUUUUUCCAUACAUAGUGAUGUUUGGAGGUCAUCUAAAAUAAAGAACAUAACAGGGACUAGAUGGUUGAUGAUCAUACUAGAAUUUCUUAGAUAUUUCUAAUGAAAAAAAAAUCAAAAAUUAGUCAAAUUUUCUAAAAGUGGACCAGAAUUUCUUUAUUGAAUUAAAAAGUUGAAAUUAAUAUUUUGGAAAAGUUAGGGCCGCUCAAGAGGUAGAAAUAGCGCUCGAGUGGUAGAAAUAGCGCUCGAGUGGUAGAAAUAGCCCUCAAGUGGUAGAAAUAGCGCUCAAGCGCUAGGACCGCUCAAGCACUUAACUAGCGCUUGAGCGCUCAUAUAGAAUCUGCCAGAAUAUGGAAGAAUAUUUUUUGGAUAAUCAUGAAAAUUGGAUUUGGAAACUUUAGAAUAUCAAUCUCCUUCGGCCUAGAGGUUUAUAUAAACCCUAUUAUAACCCUUUAGGGUUAAGAAAUUCACCAAGUGGUUUACCCUAACUUGUCAUACCAUUCCCGAUCUCUCAUCAAGGAAUCAAAGUGUUUAAUCUUGGGUUGUUUGAAGACCUGCAUCCCUUCAACAAGGCUAAGGUGUAUUCACUAGAACAAUUGAAAUUGUUGCAUUGCGGACAUGAAUCAAGUUGCAGGUUCUAGAGAGUAAGUCUUUAGAAUAAAGCAGACAAAGAGUUCUAUGUGACUUUAUCUCAUAUAGUGGAUUUAGCUUUGAGGUCUUAGACCUCGUGGGUUUUUAUCUCCAUAGUUAGUGUGGGGGUUUUCCACAUAAAAAUUAUUGUGUCUCUUGAUCUUAUGUUUGAUUUUAGAUAUUCUAUUUAUCCCUGAUAUCUCACAGGUUAACUUUAGGUUAAAAAUUCAACUCCCUAUUUAAUAAUUUUUAAAAUACACCCAUUCACGAGUGUUAUCCUACUGGACAUUGGUUUUUCACCAUAUAUAACACUCAUACCAAAACCCAUGCAACAUGGACUCCAACCUUAAGCUUAACUUUCUACGAAUGGAAAAAAAAAAAGACAUAACAUAAAUAGACAGAUUUAACAACAUGCUCCUAAUCAAGGUGAAUGUCCCUCUUUUUGAAAGAUAUGACCUUUUCCAUACGAGGAGCUUUCUUUAAAAUUUCACCUCUACCAAUUCCCAUGCCUUUACAAAGUUGUGGAAAGCUCCAAAGAGAAGGCCCAGACAUGUAAUGGGUAGAUUCCCUACCUUAGAACCUUACACCAAAGCUAAACCCCUAAUAUUUGUGACUUCUAUAAGAAUCAAUUCAUUUUUUUCCAUAUUUAUUUCUAAAUCAGACAUUGCCUCAAACCACAUGAAGUUAUAACUUGGAUGUUACAGAUGCUCUUAAUUAGUGUCACAAAAAAAUAGGGUAUCAUCAUCAAACAAGAAAUGUGACACUUCCAUCCCCUCCUCCUGUCUUCCUCCCACUUUGAAACUUGAGAUGUAACCCCUUUUAUCUAAUUCUCCUCAAAAUUCAAUUGAAAGCCUUCAUUGCCAAUAUGAAAAUGUAAGGGGAGAGAGGAUCUUUCUACCUCAAAUCCCUUGAGCUCUCAAAGAAACUGAAUAGGACACUAUUUACUAGAAUAGAGAAUUGAGUAGUGGAAAUGAACCAUUUGAUCCACCUCACCCACUUAUGAUCAAAGUCCAUUUUAUCCAACAUCAUUAACAAAAAGUUCCAAUUUACAUGGCCAUCGUCCUUUCCAAUGUCUAACUUGCAAAUUACCCCACUAUUGGGACUCUUUAACCUUGAAUCUAGAGCAUCAUUUAUGAUUAGAACUGCAUCUAGAAAUUGUCUGUCUUCCACAAAAGCAUGCAAAUAAACUAAAACUAUUUUACCCACCACAUUUUUUAGUCUUUUAGCCAAGACUUUUUCCAAUAGCUUGUACAAAAAAACCCCCAACUAAGCUAAUCAAUGUAAAAAAUUUUAGGUUCUCUGCUGCACCUAUAUUAGGGAUCAAGACCAAGAACAUGACAUUUAAAUUUUGCUCAAAGGAACAAUUAUCAAAAAACUCCCCAAGCUCAUUUGCCAAAAUAUUAUAAUAAAUCCAUUUGGCCCCUACAGCUUUAUCCCCACUCAAGCUAGACAAGGCAACAAGAAAUUCCUCAUCAAAGAAAGGUAACUCCAAUUUCCUAGAAUCAGCACAUAGCAUAACUUCAAAGGUCAUCCCAUUAAUGUUGAGUCUCCACUCGCCCAUAUCAGAUAGGAGAUUUUGGAAGGCCCUAAACUCCCCUUCCUUUAUAUUUGCUUCCCAAGCAACCAUUUUGCAUUCACUCAAAUUUUAAACAUGAAGUUUUUUAUUCUUUGGGCAUUGACCAUUUCAUGGAAAAUUUUGGUGUUUUUAUCCACCCCCUCUUUUAACCAAAUUUCUCUUUAUUUUUGCCCCCAUACAUAUAGAUUCUUCUAACAAGGCCCACUUGCUAAACUCAAUCACCACUAACCUUUGGCCUCAACGAUUUCAAGAGAUAAGGUAACUGCUCUCUACUUUGAGUCCCAGAAGUUGAUCCAGUUUAGCACCUCUAGGUUUUUUGUUGAGACAUUCCCAAAACCUUCUUCAUUCCAAGAUUUUAAAUCUCGUUUGACAGCCUUUAGUUUAACUUCCAAAAUAUGACCAUACAAGCCAUCCACAUUAUAACCAUCAACCAACUCCUCACAAAAUCUUUUAAGCCUUUUGUUUUAGGCUACAUAUUUUAAAAUGUAAACUGUGUUUUCCCACUCCUUAUCCUACCUCCAUCUAAAACUAUGGGGUAAUGACCAAAAAUUGGUUUAGGUAAAAUACUCUAGAUUAAAGUAGAAAAACGAUUCUACCAAUCAUCUGACACUAGGAAAUGGCCAAGCUAGCCUUGAAGAAGACAAAAGAUUAUGAACACCACUCCAAGUGAAUAGCCCUCCAACUAGCGAAAGAUCCCAAGGUCAAGUCCUCUAUGUCCUCUGAAAAGAACCUCAUAUCAAACAACAUUCUAAGGCAAUUCCUCCUUUUCAUGGGGAACUUGACCAUAUUAAAAUCCCCUCUGAAGCACUAGAGGUCAUCCCAAAGGCCUCUUAUGGCACCCAACUCUACCCAGAAAUCCACUCUUUCUCCCCUUUAAACCAACCCAUAAACUCUUACGUAUACCUAGACAAAGCUAUCUUCACAAUUCAUAGACAAGCAAUAGAGAAUGCUUCCACCUCCUUACCAAUUAACUCUAAUACCCUACUAUCUUGGAAAACCAAAAUGCCUACUAUCAAGCUUCUAACUUCCAAUACCAUUUCAAAAAUUUUCCUACUCCUAAACUCCUUACCAGUUGAACGAACAUCUAUCGAACCUUGGUUUCUUGUUAACAAACUAGAUCAACCCCUUGAGACCUUAUCAAUGACUUUAUUAUCAUAUACUUUUCCUCAUCAUUUGCUCAUUUGACAUUCCAAGACAGGAUUUUUAGCUUCAUCAUGCAACCUAUGUUGGAUCCUAACUGCUACUCUUGGAGCCCUUUUCCUUUUUGUUGAGCUUUUAUAAUUGACUAAGCAUCCCAACUUGUUGAGGUCCCUCUCAAACCAAGAUAUCGAGGUUAACUUCCUCUUCACCUCCAACGAAAAAACAGAAACCCCUCUCCUUAGCCUGCCACACAAGGGAAAAGAUCUCUUUUUCAAAUCCAUCAACUGGCAUUCUUGAGAAACUAUUGAAAUUUGCCAACUUACAAGAUAUACAAUUGGAGGAGUGCUUCUCUACCAAACAACUACUAAAAUUCACCUCAAAGGUGACCUUUUCCCCUGAUCUCUCCCCGGCCUCCAUACCCACUGACCCUUUCACAAAAUUUUCUAGAAUUUCCACUAUCAAGCCGUUACGGAGAACCAUCCUCAACAAACUCCUUUGACUAAUGUGAAAAACCCCACCCAAGAGCAUCUUCCAGAAGUUAACUUACAAGAUUAACUAUAAUCUUGUGAAGACUCGUUACCUAAUGGGUAAAAAAUUUGAAAUUCUAUUAGUAUAAUUCUUUUUAGGCACAAAAGCUGUGAAAAUAGCAUUGGUGCUCUAAUUAAUAACCCCAUAAUUAUUAAGCAAUAAAACAACUUUUAAUAAAUUCUCUUUCACCACAUCCCACCAAUCCUAAUGCAAAAAAGCUAGGAAAAAGUCAUCAUUGCUCUAAGCAUUUCUCCUCACUAGUUGAAAGACUGCUUUAUGAACUUCCUCUUCGACAAAAGGACAAUCCAACCAAUUAGCACCAUUUUCCAAAAUGAGAGACCAACCCCCACUCUUCUAUCCUCUAAGGAUCUUCAUAUAACCAUUAAUGCCUUUCUAUACCAGCUAGUAUAUAUCGGGUUUUGGGCAAGUCCUAUAAAUUGGUUUGAGUAAGAUUUUUAAUUACCCUGUUCUUUCUUUUUAGUUGAUAAAUAUGCAUAUAUGUAGUAAUUCAUACAUCAGAAAAGAUUUUGCUAAAACAAAAGAAUUGACAUGCAGAUAGUGACUUCUUGAUAAGAGUAAUAGCUUAAGGGAGGAAAAUGAACUCCUCCAGUGGCCCCAAAGUGGUAAGUUCCUUCAGAUCCCAUGUUGCUAUUCUGCAUUUCUUUGUGUUUUGGCAUCAGCCCUCUUAAUUAAUUCACUAUCCAGCUUCUCAAAUUCCUCGGAUUCUUCCCUUGUUCUUGUGGAAACAUCUGCAUCUUGUCCUUGCAUUGUUAUGGAUUGGUGAUUAUCAUUCUUUGAGAACUGUGUGGCAGCUGCUCGUGCACCAGCUAUGGCUGCAAGGAGACCUUCUGGUUUCUUGUCUUCAGCAGCUUUGGAGCCAUCAAAGCAAGAAACAAGUAAUCCUGGUUUCAAAGAGAGGGGAUCUUGUGGUUCUGGAAGCAGAAACUUGACAGGUAGUGGAGCUUGAACAGGACGAAGACCCCUAACUGCUGCCUCAUAUAUCUGCAACAAUUUCAGGGGGGAUAAGUAAUUAAAAAUCAGUCACUCUAUUGCAUUAGUUAGACUUGCUUUCAAUGCGAUAGCAAAGAAAGAAUCAUCAAUGAAAAAAGAAAAAAUAAAUGAAAAAGAACAAAAAGGAGAGGGAAAAAAAAAUGAUGGGUGCUCAAUUUGUACUUUUCUUUCCAGGUUAUAAAUACGUUGGUACCCGCGCAUCUCAAAUGGUAUGAUUAAUUUCUGCAUCAGGUCAGGAGAACUAAGUCCAUCAAUAUACUAAAAAGCAAAUAUACCAAAAGGCAAGCAAAAAUGUUUAACCAUCUUGAGUGUCAAACUCUCCAAGAAACUAUAUACUUUUAGCUGAAUGAAAACACAUGCCUGUGGUUGCUCACAGAGCCAGCAAAACUCUGUUUGCGCUUCUAGCCUUACCUACAAAUAGAGUUUAGGUUAUCCAACCAAAAUGGAGAUACAUCACACAAAACAAACUGUACCUAAUCAGUUUACGAAGGGGACGGGGGGAAGCAAAAAGCAAAAGUAAAUUUCUAAGAUGCCCACCCCUUCAGGUACCUCCUUCCAGCACGCCAGCUCUUCACAUUUAACACAACCAACUACUUCAAUACAACCUGUGGCAAGAAUAGAGUUUGUUGGAUUUAUUGUAGCAUGCCAUACAGAAAAAUUUAGCAUUUCAGUAAGAAUAAGAAUAAGAGAGCUACUUUCCACUAAAAUACGAAUCACCCAUCAACUGUUGCAAACAGACAACAAUGUGAAUAACAGGUUUUAUAUAUAUAUAUAUAGAGAGAGAGAGAGAGAGAGAGAGAGAGAGAGAUAGAUAGAUAUAGAGAGAGAGAGAGAGUCAAAUAAUAAUAAAGGACAAAAAUAUUUCUUUGAGAAAGACUAAUUAGAAAGAAGAAACAAAGAACCCACAUGAAAUCAAUUUAGAUAAGAGAAAUACCUUUAAGAAUCUAGUUCUUUUUGCAAAUUGCAACUUAGAAUUGGAAUGCCACAUAUUAUUAUAAGGUAUCACAAGAGAUUAUUGCUUCAUUUUUUUUCUUUGCCAGAUCAGUUUUAAUAAAUAUAAAUAUAAAAAUAUAAGCAUGUACACACACACACGCAAACACAUUAUGUGUGUAUGUUUAUGGAUAUGUAGAUAUAGGUUUUUAAUAAUAGAGCAUGAAAACAUAUCUAGUCAGAAAUUCCAAAAAUCCAAAACCAUUAGCAACACCUAACAGUCUUGAAACUGGGUAAUGUUCUGGAAACUUGAGGUCUGCUAUCCCAUUCACAGCAUAGAUCUCCCUGUAGAAAUUCUCCAUUGCUUUGAUUGUGUCUGAAUCUGGGACCUUACUAGCAGCAUGAAUCCAGAGUCGGCCUUCAUAAAACAAAACAUGUAUAUUAAGAAAUAUCCUUGUAGAACAGUAACAUUUUUGCCAGCAUGCAAUUCGUGUUAAUAAUCCUUGGUUCUCACCACUCAUUGUACAUUACAAUGUAAAGACCUAAUAAGCCCUAAUAUAGGUAGGUGUCUGUGCAGAGAGAGAGAGAGAGAGAGGGGAGGGGGGUGAAAGGAAAGAUGAUUAUAGAACAAAUACAAGUUGAAUCUCCUGAAAUAAUGUCCAUCAAGUUAUUUCCUAGCAACAAGUACUGAUUAUGCUUUUCCUGAUAACAUGAUUUUCUUUGCUAACAACCAUACUAUAUUUUAUCAAGAAAGAGUAGUGCAUGUGGCGUGCAUCAAGACCCAUUAGAGUUCCGCUAAACCUAUAGUUCUGUCAACGUUAUCAUUUACGUUUCCUCUAGAUAAUGGCAUUUUCCUCUAAAACUCUUGCACCAUUAGGCUUCAAGUCAAAAUUUCACAUGUGAACUUUGGAAAUUUUCUCCAUUUGCCCCUAAGGAUACAGUUAGAAUUGACUUAAAAUCCUGAUUGAUGUAUACUUUUAACCGAAGAAUAUUGUAUAUAAUAAUUGAAAUAUUGUUGAUUCAUCGUGGAAAUACAUUUUGUAAGGAAAGUUGUUAAGAAUUUAGUAUGCUAUAUGGAGAAAAAAGUCAUGACUUAAGGUUGAGUAUGUAUAUUCUAUAUCAAAUAUUAGGUAGGAAUGUGGAAAAGAGCAGAGUGUAAUUAUAAGAAACAAAGAAAUAUAAGAUAUUCUUGAAAGUGGAAAAUGUAAAAUGGCUAAAAGUCAAAUUUAUGAUGCAUAAGGGGGAUCAUGUCACAUAAGAAACUCAUGGCAUACCAAAUACGUGUGGUAUGGAGUAACAAUUUUGUUAAAAUAAGUUUCUCGUUGGAGUACAUUAGGUGACAAUUUUUUAAUAUCAAAUUAAAGAGUCAAGUGCAUCAAUGAAGUCAUAUGUAGAAAAUUUGUUUGUGACAUGUACCAUAAAGAUAAGAUUGACUUGAUAUAAUUUAGUCCAGGUAGGAGUUGUUAAAGGUGUCUCAAAUUUCUAAUUGAUAUAUAUUUUUUUCUAAAAAAAUAUUAUAUAGAUAUUUCAAUAAAUGAUUAAUUCUUUGUAAAAAUACUUACAUAAUAAAAAACAUCAUUAGAAAUAUCUCUAUAAAUAUUUUAAAUCACAAAAAGAAAAAAAAAAUCACUAUGAGAUAAUUAUAAACAUGCAACAUUGUACCAAGUAAACAGAAAUGUGAUAAAAAAAUUUUGAGAAACACUAAAUAAAGGAAGGGCUUGUAUAUCAAGAUGUAAAUAUAGAGAGCAAUAUUUUUAAUCAUAUGAUAGAAUUAUUUUCUCUCAUUCAUGAUUAUAAGCAAAAUUGGGAACCAUUAUAAAAUCUUGUACACCUCGUGUAAAUUGAUGUUUGUCUUCAUAUUUUACACCAACAAAUGACAUUGAAGUUGUCAUUGAUAAAAGGGAAAAGGCAUGGCCUCCACACCAUGUGCUUGAAUCGUAUGGUUCAAGUUUAAAGAAUUUUCUCCAUAAUUUGAAGAUCUAAAACAUUUUCACCUUUAAAUUUCAUUUAAUUAUUAAUAUCUACAAAAAAUAGUUAAAUACUCUUUCUAUUUUUGAGUUGUUGAAUUUUUUGAAAGUUUUUAUAUUUGUUAUCAAGAAUUUAUAUUUUAUUAAGUGUGAAUAUUUAUAAAUAAGAUAUUAUAUAAUAUUUGGAUAAGAGAGAAUGGUGGAAUAUAAUAAAGUUUUAAUCCUUCCCAAUUUUUAUCUUUUUUUUUUUUUUUUUUUAUAAUCGCCUUUCUCUUUCAAUCCUAUUAUCAGGUACCUUAUAUUUGCUGAUGCUAUCUGGAACUAAAUUCCAAUCAGACAUUGUCCAAUUACUAAUAGGACAGAUCAUGUCUCUCUGUUUCUAAACUAACAUGUAUCGUAAUGUGGCCUCAUAAGGAAGGCUAGGAAGAUGGAGGAUUUUGUGGGAAGCGACCAGAAUCAGAUGGAAGAGAGAUAGCCCUGUUGACCUAAUGGCUGUAAUAGGAGAAGCGUGUGGAUUUAUGGGACUUAACUGAUACUAAACCUAUAUGAUGCUUGGAGUGGUGUUUCUUUCAUUUUGUUAAGAAAAUAUGGCAGCAUACAUCCUUUCAAUUGAGUGCAUCAGAGCAUCCAUAAUAGAUGGUCUGCAACCCUAGGUGCAUGCCACUUUCUGACUGAUAAUGAAACUGUCAGGUACUUGGCCUUGACUAAGCUCAACAGCAUCACAUAAAAAGAAGCUUUCAUACUUAGAUUACUGUUUAAAGCUUUUGCUUAUUUGCUUUCUUAAUGCCAUUAUGACAUUAUUGUUUCAAUUCUGCUACCGAUUUUCGAAGUUCUGGGCAUCUACUGAUUGCAUCAUUAUAUGAGAAGUUGCAUGAGUUUAUGUAUCCUGUUAUUGCUCCUUUGCGAUUUCACUGCUCACGGGACUAACCUCUCCAUUCAGUCGAAAUGAAUUGUAAUUUCUUUACUGGUAGCAGUAGUACUUUUCAUAGCAAAGAUAAUAGUAAAUAUGAAAUAUAAAUAGAAGGAAAUCUGAAUUGUAGAUGGCACUAUAAGUAACACUCAAUAUUCACUACAUAAUAAAAUAGACAGUGUUACAAAGGUAGAGAAACCUACAAUGAGUACUCAUCACCAUUCUCAAACAGAAACAUAGCAGCGACUUAUACAUAGAACCUAUAGGCUUGCAGGGAAAGAAGGGAAAGAGUAACAUGAUAAGUUCACAGCGGGUAGCAGCUCUUAUUUUACGUAUUACUCAAAAUCUCAAACUAACCAAAGUCACUCAGUUGGGAUGGGUAGGAGAUGGUGGUUUGUGGGGUGGCUUCUGGGUAGGAGCUGGUGGCUUCUUUGUUGGAGUUGAAGGAGGCGUAAUCUUCUGAGGUGGCUUGUAUGAGUCUUCGGCACUCUCUGCAGGAGGGUGCCCAGGGUUGUGACCGGAAGGAGGUGGCUUCUGUCCCUUUGGUGGUUUGCCUAAUGGGCUUGGUGGCUUGUGCUCCGGGAGUUGUUUCUCUCCCUCGAGUAGGUUUCGAGUUUUGUCAGAUGGCUUGUGUUCUGGUGGUGGCUUCUCUCCCUGGGGUGGUUUGCCGAAUGGGCUUGGUGGCUUGUGUUCGGGGAGUGGCUUCUCUCCCUGGAGAAGGUUACGAGUUUUGUCAGAUGGCUUUUGUUCUGGUGGUGGCUUCUCUCCCUGGGGUGGUUUGCCAAAUGGGCUUGGUGGCUUGUGUUCGGGAACUGGCUUCUCUCCCUUGGGAGGUUCAUUUGGUGGCUGGUGUUCCGUAGGUGGUUCCUUCACCGGCGGCUUGUGCUCCGGAAGCGGCUUCUCUACCUGGAGAAGCUUACGAGUUUUGUCAGAUGGCUUGUGUUGUGGUGGGGGCUUCUCUCCCUGGGGUGGUUUGCCAAACGGACUUGGUGGCUUGUGUUCGGGGAGUGGCUUCUCUCCAUUGGGAGGUUUAAUUGGUGGUUGGUGUUCCGUAGGUGGUUUCUGAAGUGGGGGAUGCUUGGGGUAGUCAGCAAGAGACGAGGUAGUGAGAACCACCA
rnacentral:lncRNA from 1 species